UAUGCCGCACUCAAUUAUUUUUAAUAAUUGCUAUCAAAAAAUAGCCAGAAAACUUGACAAAAACUGGUUGGGCAAACAGAACUAGUAUAAAUCACCACAAUGCCAAACAAAAACUGAAUUGGGCAAUUGUAUGCGUGUGAUGAUGCCUUUUAUUUUCUUACUGAUUACAGGAAAGCAGGAAAGAGUUGGCCAGCGACAUUGAGACCUUGAAGAAAAAGAUCGCUGGAACAGAGUAAACUUGAGUUCUCCGGAAGGUUUUGGAUGCUUCUUUGGUCUAUCCAUCUAAUGGAAGAACACCUACUUGCUUAGAGUACUACCAAUUGCCUUUGUGUGCUACAUAUAUAUCUGUAUGCAAAAAGAAUCUUUGGUAUGGUGUCCAAUGUCAAUAGUGAAAUUGUACCAAGUGUUUGAAAGCCUUCUCUUUCUUUUUAUAUAAAUGUGUUUGUGCGAGCAGUGAUCCGUUGGAUUAGCUUUAGAUGUUAGAGUAAAGAUGAGAGACAAGAAUGUUCUUGAGUUUACUUAAUACCACUAGUUACACUAGUAAAACAAACAAAUAGUUGGAGACUAGCCAUACUCAUCGUAGUUAUCGCUAAAUUGAAAGUCUACCAUAACGUGGAGGAUAGGUGACUCGGUUAUUUAAUUUAUUGUUUUAGUUAUUCGAGAAUAUUGUUGUUUAUAUAAAGUAUGAUGUACAAUAACAAUAAAAUAACUUAAUUUAUAAUAGCAGUAUAGGUAACUAGUUAAACGACUAUAGUAAAAAUGGAUAUGUCAAUCAAACAUCAAAUUCUAUACAAGUUUCAUGAAUAAAUAACAUCCUUUAAUGCAGUAUGAUAUAAUAUUAUGAAUUUGAAAUAAUAAUUAGUUUAUGUUAUAUUAAAUUGUAUAAAUUAGAUUUGAUGUUAACCAAUAAGGUGAUAAUUGUAUUGUUUAACACAAAAGCAUACGACAGAAGAAUUCUAAAUUUUGUAUAUUAAGAUACAUUAAUUUGGAUCGGAUAAUAGUCUCCAUGGCGUAUUAUUUGUCACGAAGACCUUUGAAUAUGUUCAGAAUCAUUUACGGAGGACGAGUGAGAACCCGUUGUGUAUUAAGUAUCUACUAAUGCCGAACUAAUUUCGCUCUAAAAAGUCACCAUAAGUAUAGUCGCGUGACCGCCAAACCCCCUCCCUAAUUAGAAUGUUUAUUGUACUCACAAACACGCGCGUACACUACUCGCCACUAUUUAUGAACUCAACAAAUAGUAACGAACCAGACUACCAGAGAUUAACUCACUUUUUAAUUUGAUGAUAUGUCAAAUGUAUGUUCUACUACUAGAAUGUGAAAUCAAUUUGUGUUAAAUCUAUUAAAAAAACAUUUACAUUCUUACGGUACAACAACCGACAUAUGUUGAAAAACAAAAUUCUUGUCCCUCGUCGCCAGUUUAUGCGUCUGUCCCUAUUUGGGAAUACGUGCUUAUCUGAGUUUCAUUUUGUUAUAUGAACCGGUUAACCUGAUGUAGAUGAUUAUUUCUCUAACAGUGACACACGCCAUUUUAUCUUAUCUUUUCCACGCUAAUCUCUCUGAUCACGACUCCUAAAAUUCUAACUGUGGUGAACUAAGUGCACCUGGGAUGGGCGAUAUUUUAUCUUACUUUAUGAAUCUAACUUCUUUUGAAGAACUUUAUGCGCGAUUGUAAAGUGUCAAUGAUUAUGUGUUGCGAUGAAAAGAUGUACAACAAUGUUGAUAUUUAGGUCAUGAUAAAUUAAUUUUUUACAAAAACAAAGUUGUUUGGUAAAAUAAAAUUAUAAUAAAAUCUAUAAAAAUUUGACUUGCGAUACGGUAAACAAAGUUUAUCAUAGUGCUUAUAACUUUUGUUAACAGAAUAAUCUGUAAUUUGGAUAUUUUUGUUAAAAAGAUCAUAAGUUAAAUUGACUAAUAUUGGAAAAUUAUUUUCCAUCUAUUUACAAAAAGUCAAAUAAUAACAUUGACUAAAUAUACAUUUAGUUUCGUAUAGAAAAAAUAUCAACGACGACAAUCAUUUUACCAAUUUAUUUUGGCCAACAUGCAUAUCAUUAUUAUACUUAAUAUUUUGUCACUCAGGAUGCUACAUGCCGAGUUUCACUUCUACAUCUUUGUCGGUGGAUGCCCAGUUUCACUUCUACAUCUUUGUCGGUGGUACAUGCAUGUUGCUAGAGCUGACAGGAAUAAUUGCUUCUGUCUCGAAUUCUUUGACCGGCAUGCGGGAGAUCUGAUCACUGCAUUUUCUUUUACCGGAACAUGUAAACAUUUUGCAGAUUGUCCAUAUUACUCUAGGGUGCGUAAAAUGGGAUGAUGUCAGCCUUUUCUUAAUAUGUAAGUUAUAUGAUACAAAACCAUGAUCAUUAGUAAGAAUUUUCAAAGACGAAUCUAUUGAUAUAAAUUUCAUGUAUGUAGAAACACAUAUCAAUAGAGUUUUCAUCGGUCACAACUUUGUCUUAACAAAAACAAAAUACGCCAACCUUUGUAAAAUGGGAGGAGUAUUUGAUUAAUGUUAUUUAUCUAGGCAUUAAUUAUAAGAUAUGACCUAUUGUACCACAUUGUUUAUUGUCUUUUCUAAAUGACGUGGAACACACAAGACAACAAACCAUUACUUAGGCUCGUACUAAGAAGAGUGAGAGAAUGUACAAUAUUAGAUAUAAUAACAACCUCUCCAACAAGUGGUUUCUUAACCUUGUUACUAACACCUCAAAAGUAUAUAUAAUAUAUUGUAGUUGGUCCCACAAAAACAUGAUAUAAUUAACAACCCUUGCUCUAAUAGUACUUUUGUUGUUACUUACGUCUUGGUUUGCGUGUAGUACUAGUUUCUUUAGGGAGAAACCACUACUUCUUUGCUCCUCGGCUUUAUACAGCCACAUCAUCAAAUUUUGACAUGUCAUCAUAUUAGUACCAGCUGACUCAUCUUAUUGGAGAUGCCCUUAUAAAUCAUUGCACAUGAGUUUAUUACUCCCUCUUAUCCAUAUUAAUUGUCUUAAAUUUGCCCAAAUAUGGAUGUAUCUAUACCUAAAAAGUGUCUACUGAACCGGAGUAGUUUUUUUUUCAAAUUGCUAGGGCACAGUCUUCUGAGAAAAUACUUUUCUCAGUCGACGCGACAUUUAGAUGAAAUAAAUAAAAUAAUAACUAGUAUUUGGCAAAAGUCGUUUGUUGGUCUGGUGGUUCGGUGGUGUUAUGCAUGUAGUGCAUGUAGAGCAGGGCUCCGGCACCAGCGGGUUCGGGUACGGUCAAUACCGACGACCGACCCUCAACCGCUAUCGGGUAUGAAAUUUAACCGUACCCGCCACUCGCCUCGGGUACGGGUUACCCGCGGGUAUUUUUACCUGACCCGCUGAGCAUUUAGAAAACCGAAUUCAGCAGCAUACACACAGAAAAUAAAAAAGUAGGAGCAGAAAACAAAUCAGUAUGCAUCAUCAUAAAACUCUCACACAUUGUCGAACUAGCUAGCAUUAAUAAUCUUCCGUUCUGAACAACACAGAGCAAAGCCAGCAGCGGCGCCGUUUCAAACAGCACGAACUCCCCUGUGCUCCUCGUCUUCCAAUUUUCCUACUUCUCCAACAUACCUCAAUUAAUUAUUACAGGCGUAUCUUUUGAACUUUGGUGUCGUUUGCUUUUCUCAGUUUUUCCUAAUUGAGCACAACGUUGAUGCAAACCGUUCUUACCAUCAAGGCAUCAAUGUAACCACGCACCCAAAGAGCAUGCGGGUCCUCAUCACGCUGGACUGGCGGGUGGCACACCGAACCAUGGCUCACCCAUCGCGUCCUUAAGGAGCACGCCGAACAGCUUCACGUUCUUCUCCUCGCACUCGGGUCGGCCCUGGCGUCCGCAGUCGGCAGGUGUCGUGCCUGUUGGAGGAGGCAGGUGCGCGGUCGGCGGACUGGUGGAGGAGGCGGGGCGCGGCCGCGCGGGCAGGUGGAGGAGGCGGGGCGUGGCCGCGCGGGCUGGUGGAGGAGGAGGCGCGGGCCGGCGGACUGGCGGAGCGAGGCCGCUCGGGGAGGAAGCUAGGCGUCAGCGGAAGGCGGAGAGCUGGAGGAGAGGCGGCCAGGUGGGGGCGUGAGCGCGACGGCGCGGUGGAGGGCAGGCGCCCCGGCCUGGCGGCGGACACGGGAGGGGAUUCAGGCGGGGCGGGGAAUUUGGGGGUUAGGGUUAGGUCAGUGGGGCUGAGGGCAUCCGGGUUUAUAUACGAUGUGUAUUGGUUUGGGCCUUAGGGAAAGAAUAAUGGACGUAUGUACUGGGCUGGCUAGUCAAGUGCAGGUACAUGGGUGUACGGGUUCGGGUAGUACAAUACCAUAUCCGUAUCCGUCAUACCUGUCGGUACAGAAUUUUACCAUUUGCGUAUCCGCGGGUAUUUUUUCUCACCAUACCCGUAUCUUAAACGGGUACAUACCCGUCGGUAUGCGGGUAUCGGGUACCCAUAGCCAUCCGUAAGCAGGACGCAGGUUCGAAUCCUGGACGCUCUAUUUUUUUUACUUUCGGUUUUUAUUUAUAACUAUUUUUUUGUUUGUAAUUUUUAUUUCUCUUGAUUUUCUUUGUUUUCAAGUUUAUAUAUGUUCACUAAUGUAAAAUAGCAUUAUAAUAUAAUUUGUACAUUUAUUUUAUUCGAAAUAUUGCACAUUCGGACGGCUAAAAUUGCACGUGAAAUUUUGUGUGCAAAUUUGGAUCUUGAAUAUUAAAAUUGGAUAUUGCACCUUCGGAUGGCUAAACUUGCACGUGUUUUUUUGUACAAAUUUGGAUUUUGAAAUAUACGAUUAGAUAUUGCACUUUCGGACGGCUAAAUUUGCACGUGAAAUUUUGUGUGCAAAUUUGGAUUUUGAAAUGUACAAUUGAAUAUUGCACCAUCAGAUGAUUAAAAGUGCACACGAAAUUUUGUGUGCAAAUUCUUAUUUUGAAAUGUGCAAUUUGAUAUUACACCUUCGGAUGGCUAAAAUUCCACAUGUUUGGAUUUUAAAAAUUGCACGUGAAAUUUUAGAUGCGAUUUUUAAAAAUUGCAAGUGAAAUAUGGGCAAUUAAAAAUUGCACGCAAAUUUCACUCUCUCACACACGCACACACGCACACGCACGCGCGCGCACACACAGCCCUGAGCCAUCGACUGAGAAACUCUCUCAGUCGACUUAGACGUAGGCACUUUUUUUUUCCGAAGGAGAGUUUAUUAGUUCACGCUACCUUGUUCCGUUAAGCAAACUCUCCAACUUGCUGCCCAAAAGAAAAAAGAAAAAAACCAACUCGAAGGCGACGGCAAAUUCUGAAGAACGCCUGCGACCUGUGCGGAAUGUUACCUCCUGCCUCUACCACGGGCUCUCGCCUCUUCCACCCCGCCGCCGCGGCCGCCUCUCGCCGCACCAUGGCUGCUGCCGCAUCCGCAAACCCGCCGCCCCCGCAGCAAUCGGUCCCCAAGGCGGUGCGGGUGGUGGUGAAGGGCCGCGUGCAGGGCGUCUUCUUCCGCGACUGGACGGUGGAGACGGCGCGCGCUCUCGGGCUUGCCGGCUGGGUCCGUAACCGCCGCGACGGCACCGUGGAGGCCCUCCUCUCUGGCGACCCCGCCAGGGUCGACGAGAUGGUCUCCCAGCGCCUCCCCGUCGGGCCCCCAGCCGCCGCCGUCACUGCCGUGCUCCCCUCCCCCGCCGAUCCGCUCGAUCCCUCCGAGGGCUUCAACCGCAAGCCCACCGCGUGAUGAAGGCUGGUUCUUGUACGUGACAUGGUAAUCUUACCUCUAAAUGUUUCUCUUUGUAAUGAUUUUUAGCAAUCUAUUGAGCCUUUAUUGAGCGAGAUAUCAGCACUCAGUAGACUGAAACCCUCGUCAGACUACUAGAAUUGAAAUUCCUGGUGACAGGACCGUUAGUAUGGUUCCUUGAGUGCACUCUACUCCCGUUGUUUGAUCAUGGCUUUUCUUCGGGUAGUGAGAUGUUUUCUGUGAUACACAAAGAUACUGGUUGCAGAUUUUUACUGACAUUGGCCUUUUCUUUUUGGAAGAAAUUUGGCUGUUUUAUAUUACUUAAACCUUGUGAGAUCAAACUGAAAUUAGAUGUUAGUACAGAUUUCUUUUCCCCCUAAUCAUUUCUGUACGGUGUCCUAUUCCUGGGUCACAUACUAUGGAACCCUGUGAGAUCAAACUGAAAUUAGGUGUUAGCACACAUUUGACCCUAAUCAUUCUUUACAGGUUUACUAUUCCUUGGUCACAUGAAAAUCUUAAUUGCACUGCAUUGAGCUAAAGCUAAUAAAAAUUGUAAAAUUUUGUGUGCAAUCUUAAACUAAAGAAAUUUGUAACCCCAAUUUAGACUCGAUAUUCCAUUAGUCCCAUUGCAUAGUGGUCUGAGUUACGGUCCUGGAUUCAGCUCCUUGGAUACCUGGAUACAUAUGUGUGCGUGCAUGUCAUAAAGCGGAGAAAGAAAAUUACAUUGUGAAAAAAAAUGAAAUAUACUCUGUAGAAUACUAUUUUAAGGGGCCAGACAGAAUUUACAUGAAGGGACUAGUAGAACAAAAUAGGGAGCUAGAAAAUUGAUACACAGGGACAAGUAUAACAAUCUAGUGUUCUGUUUGGUUUUGUUUCAAGCAGAUUUUAAAUGCCAAAUAUGCCAACUUGUCACUCAAAUGACUAUACAUUAUGAAGCAAAUUUCUUAUCCAAAACCUUUUGUCUCAACAAGUUUUCAUGCAGUUCAGGUCAAGGAAAAAAAGUUUCAUCCAGAGGCUUCUUUCGGAAUAAAAGUUCAUGGCCAGCCUUGGUUGAAAUCUCCACUUGUUCUGGCCUCUGCUCUAGACCUACCGGUCGGCUGCAACUCACCAUUCACCGGGAUAGCAGUGGCGGAUAGGGUUUUAUCACCGGGAUGUCAGUGUAUGCACAAUUUAAUUGUCAUGUUCAGACAACACAAAUUCGACAUAUAAGUAGCUUAUUGUGGUCUUUACCAUAAUAAUUCAAAGAAAAGGCGAAUAGUGCAGUUGUGGAGUUUAGUAUUUUUGAACCAUAGGCAUUAGAUCAACCAGGUUAAAUGUAAAUACUACAUGGUAUGGGAAAAUUUGCACAUUUUGGAGGGGGCUAAGGGUGCGACCCCUAAACUGUAGCCCCAGCCCCCAGGUAACCCCUAUCCUGCCGGUCCAGCCUCUCUUUGAGUACCUCUAAUGUAUAAGAUCACCAUUUGCCUUACGUGAUGUUUCAAGGACCUUGGCUAUUCCGGGGUUGAUGCUUGUGCUAGAGUAUAAUGGAGGGUCUAACCGGGAUGAGCCCUUUGAACCGUGCACCAGUUUGGGCGCAGAUCAAUGGUUUUCCUGCACUGUACUGCCAAUAGUCGGUGGUCGACAAGCUUGCAAGGAGGGUUGGGAAAGUCUGGAGUGGAGAUGAACCUAGUGGAGAGUUUGAAGGGGACUAUAUUAGAGUGUGGGCAAGCAUCGAUGUCCAGGAACCAGUGAUCAGGUUUGCACUCGAGACCCAGGGUGUUAAGCAUCUCCUCUUGGAUGUAAAAUAUGAGAAAAUUGGGUACUUCAGUGAGUUGUGUGGAGUGUUGGGUCACACUAUGGAGACUGCGAGGCUGGGGUGCAUGCACCAGAGAAAAAUCCGGUAUGGCAAGUGGCUUUUGGCGAAGAGAAGAGUUUCGUCGACGAGCCUCUCCCUAGGCGCACUCGUGCAGGGGGCCGUGCUCAUGAUGGAAGGGUUAGACACGAGAGGGCCUAUGAGACCUUGUCCAAUGCGUCGCUAGGUACGGGUGCUAGGGAGAAUAAUCACAUCCAUUUUAUCAGUUUGGGAUUUAUUUCCGAGCACAGUGUUGGCAUCGCUGCUUCUAUUUCAGUUGAGCUCACCCAAUACUUCAAGCAAUUUGUGCGUGUGGAGAUUUUAGCCAGGCUCCUAUGAAUUAGUUAUUUUGCAUUGGACCAGAUGGAUGCUUAAUCAGGCGCUUUAUCUGGUGACAAUAUUUACUCUCCUUUAGCGCCUUUGUAAGCAAGCAUCGUUGCACUGGAGAUGGCCUAAGCACUCCUCUGAGGAAGCUGACCUGAACAGAGAGGGGGAUUUGAAGGAUACUGCACCUAGGCCAGCGAAGAUCGCAGGAGGCGAUCACAUGGACGCCAAAAUAUUUCUGAUCGGGGACAGCAUGGUUCGGUGGAAAGGAAGCUGGACCUGGGAAAUAUGGUGGUUUGUGAGUUGUGACUGUCAACAGAAGGGAUUCAACAAUGGUUGAUCCUGGGGAGGAUGUGGAUGAAGCAGGGGAUCGAAGUUAACGCGGGGGCUGUGACACCCUCGCUAUCUAGCCCCAUCUUCUCAGCCACAUGUUUCACCUCAGGCCCACCAAAUUAAUUUAUUUUGUCCUAUACUAUAGAGAGAUUAGCAGGAAACUAGUACUUGUGACACAGAGAGAUUAGCAAGGAACUAGUACUUGUGGCAGUCACGUAUUUUUUUUACUGACAACUCUUUAUUUUUAUCUGGUUCUUUCUCGUUCUAUGCAUCUCUAUCCCAUUUUUAAGUACAUUGCGGUACACAACAUGUUUUGAAGUACAUAUUUCGUACAUUAUGGUAAAUAAACUGUACCUUCUCAGUUUUCAAAUAUCUCGUAUACAUGAACUUAGGAGAGGAGUACAUCGUAUGGUACAUUACAUGUACAUUAUCAUUUUUUAAGUACCUCGUGUAUAUGAACUACAUCGUAUGGCACAUCACAUUUUUUUAGAAAAAAACAACAGUACGUAACAAAUACUUGACAAGUACAUCAACACACAUCACAAAUACAUCGAGAUACAUGACAAGUACAUCAGAGACACAUCAAGGUACAUGACAAGUACAUCAAGGCACAUCACAAAUAUAUCGUGGCACAUGACAAGUACAUUAAGACACAUCAGAGACACAUCAAGGUACAUGACAAAUACAUCAAGGCACAUGCAAGUACAUCAAGACACAUCACAAAUACGUCGAGGCACAUGACUAGUACAUUGGGUACAUCUUAGUACGUUAGCAUUAAAAUGCACAUUAAACUACGUCAAACAAAUGGAAUUAUACAGUUGAGUACCAGGUACCUCUCAAUCCUCAAUCACAGUACCAAGUGGUAUCCAGAAUCCUCGCUAAACAAGCAGAAAGAUCCCCAUUAAAUCAGCACAAAAAUUACACCUUCGAUGCAGUCAAUCGAUGUGCAGGGACCCGACGGCUCCAGACGUCCUCCACGGCGGCUGUUCCCGACGGCGUGGCGUCCUCCUUCUCCUGCACGGAGUUGGAUUGGACAGGCACCGAGGCCGGGCUUCCCCAUGGCGCAGAGAGCGUGAGUCGUGAGGGAGAGGAGAGGGAGGAGAGAGAGAAAGGAGAGGAAGAAGGAAGAGAGGACCAUCCUGUUAAUUUCAUGUCCCCAGAGAUUAAAAGAAAAAAAAAGGGACACGUGUGUGGUGGAGAAGGUGGGGCUAGAUAACGGUGGAGUCACCAUGAACUUUGGCGGAUCGAAGUAUUGAUGUUUCCCCACCAACACCGCAGUACGUAGAAAAAAAAGGGACACGUGUCUGAUGGAGAAGGUGAGGCUAGAUAGCGGUGGAGUCACCAUGAACUUUGGCGGAUCGAAGUAUUGAUGUUUCUCCACCAACACCGCAGUACGUAAAGCCAAUGGCUAGCGAGAGAAUCAAGAAAAGGCACGCCCCCUACAGCGGCGCAGAACAUGGCAUAGGGAUCAGCUGCCUCUUUAGAGUUAAGGAGGAAUUCAUCGCAUAAUUUGCCGUGGAACACUGCCAAGUAAUUAAGCUGAACGAUCCGCAUCACGCGGAAUGAGCUACAAAGAAAGAGAGCAGAAUUUUGUAGGAACCCGAGGAAGAUUUUGCUGGACCUAGAUGUUAAGCUCUUCUCAACUAGCUGUGGUGAACUAGAUACAUCUUCUCUCUGUUCGUGAUCUCCUUACAAAUCGCGACAUGAGAAUGUGAGGUACACAUACAUCACUAUCGAUAUCGGAAGAUCUAUCUAGCUAUUACCUGUACCUGCUUACACAUCAUGGAUACAACCAAGGCCUGAGGGAGCACCAGGGCCAGCACGGGCCCUGGCCCCCUCUAAUAUUUGGAAUUUGUACUUAAGCCUUCUCAUAACUUUUGCAAUUUUAUCUUAUAAACUUCGGUUUUUAUGCUUCGGUUCCACCAAUAAAUCAUCUCUUCUAUUCUGACCCUCCUGUGUUUUUUUCCUGUCUCCGCCACUGGAUACAACUCACUCUCAAACCUUCUCUUGCAGCUCUACCACGGACUCGUCCUUGCCCUCCUGAUCCGUCUCGUGGAGGAGCUGCAGGGGCUUGAACGUGUAGCGCCUGGCGCAUAUGACGUAGUAGACGAGGUUCAAGACCUGCAGCAGCGUCACGAUCCAGUAGAAGUAGUCGAGCUUGCCGCGGUUGAUGUUGUCCGGCAGCCAGUUGGAGCCGCCGGGGCCAGCGCUCCACCGGUGCACGACGGCGACGAGCAGCGUGCUCACGUAGCUCCCCAGCGAGAUGGACAGCCAGAAGAGCGCCGUGGCUGUGCUGCGCAUGCUCUCGGGCGCCUGGUCGUACAUGAACUCCAGGUGGCCCACGGACGUGAAGGCCUCCGCCACCCCAUGCAGCGCGUACUGCGGCACCAGCCAGUAGGCCGACAGCGGGGCCGUGCCCGCGUCGGUGGUUCCUCCGGCAGCAGCAGCCUCCCUGCGGUGCCGCUCGACGAAGCCCGCCACGAGGCUGGCGGCCACGGAGAUGGCGAAGCCGACGCCCAUGCGGUGGAGGACGGAGAUGCCGCGGUCCAGCCCCGUGGAGCGGCGCGCCACCGGGACGAGCACGCGGUCGUAGGCGAAGAGGGUGACGAGCAUGGCCAGCAUGGUGAAGACGGUCAUGGAGCCCGCGGGGAUCUGGAAGGAGGAGAGGUGCGGCGCGAGGCGGCGGUCCAUGGUGCUGGCCUGCUGCAGGGAGAAGGUGUGCUGCUGCGACGACGCCGUGAUCACCAGGAUGCCCGCCGCCCAUAUCGGGCCCAUGCGGACCACCGACUUGAGCUCUUCCACGCGGUGCACGGUGCUCAGCCGCCACAGGUUGGGGAUGGGGGCUGGAGGCAGCUUGUCGGAAGUGGCGGCGGCGUCCGUCGUGACCAUGUCGCCGUCGGUGACGAUUGCAGCGCGGUCAAAGAAGCUGCACGAUGAACAGUUAGAGUGAAGAAACAGUCUGAUCAGCGGUAAACUGACAGCGCGAAGCUGAAACCACGAUGCUAAGCUUAUACACUGGGAAAUUUUGCCACCGCCGACUACAUUGUCGCCACCUCGUUUCAUCAGAAGAAGAAAAAUCCCUGGUGGCCAGUGGCUUGGUGACAUAUCGUUAUUGCAGUGGGUAUUAACUAUUAAGGCGGUGAGAGAGUACGUCCCACGUGCAUAUUUGCCGACCGCUCGAUCUGUUGUUCGGAUUAAGUUUUGCCGAUGAAGAGAUUGGAAUCGACUAUGGAGACGGGGAAGACGAUGUCGACAGCAAGACUUAUGUCAGCUAGAACGGAGCUCAAACUGGAGCCGUGCCAAAUUCCACUGCGGCGUCUAUCGUCUCGGCUCAGCAGUCAGCACUACUAGUACAGUAGUAGUGCAGCACGGGAGCGAGCAACGUGCUCAUUUUUGGCGCAUUUGCUGACUAAGUCCUCUUGUUCAUCGAUGCUCCUGGCCCUCUAAACAGCUGCAACAAAUAACUGGUACUCGCCAAUCUUUUAUCGUUGCUGCCGACAUGUAAUACUAACUUCCAUUCGGAAUUGAAAAACACCAAAAACCCCGAAUUUAAAGUAGAGAAGAAGAAAAUGUAUUCGCGGUUGCUUGUUUCCUUAGUUUGGGUUGCGUUCUUAUUUUACGUAGCUUGCCACUAUAAUUUUACAUCGUAUUCCUUUCAUUCGAGUUUACAAGACCUCUUUCUUAAAAAAAAAUUAACCGACACAACACCGGAAAAAGAGAAAAUAAAUGUCGAUUUAAUGGUGAAAAACACUAGUACCAAAAUGAAACGCUAAUACUAAACCAAAAACACUCGUGAUAAGGCAAAGAUGGCCCAAUGCAUGCGAUAAAAUUAUUGUUAAGGUUGAAACCAAAAUAACUAAUGCACAUGGUUAAGAGGGAGAAAUAUCUAGAAAAGAUGCCUGUUUAUUAUUGCCCCUUUCUAUUUGACUGCACUCUCAAAUUUUUAGAAUUUAUAGCACACUUAAAAAUAGAGGAGUGGGCGAUCAAAAUUUAUUGCUACUAUCGGGCGCCCGUUAGAGCGUCGCAUAACUUUGUACAAUUGAAUCAUGUAGAUGUUUUAUUCACGUUGCAUUCCUAUUAUGUAAGGUAUGUAAUUGAUUUUGAUAAUUAUGUCUUUUUUCUGUUUUUGUUUUGUUUAGUAACCAAUUUAUUUAUGUUUUUUAUAUUUUUCACAGCUAAUUCUAAAAUAAGUUUACUACAUUAUAAUUCAGCAACUGCAAAGUGUAUUUUUGUGAACUUUUUGGCAUUUGUUUUUCCUUUGGCUGCAAAACAUGAAAACUAUAUAACACAGUUUUACUAUUUCUUUUUCUUUUGUUGGAAAGGAUGUAAGGGAACCCAAACAUGAGAAAACCUGGUGGAUGAAGUAAUGCAACCACAACUCCACCACCGCACCAAGUGGUGUUUUCCGCUAUUUUUAAGAUGACGGAACAAUAACCAUUUAGUGGAUGCUAGCUAACGACCAUCUGGUUAUUCACAAAGGCUUAUACAGGUACAAAGGAUGAAAAUCAGAUGGAUAUAAUUAUGAAUUGAGAAAUAACUAAUUUUAGAUUGACAGAGAAAAAAAAAAGGACACUCCUAAUAUAAUACGUACUCUAUUUUGGCCAUUUUGCACUGUUUUCGGCCCACUUGGAACCACAGCGGAGGAAAUGGUUUUCGUCACUACUGCUCUACUAGAUAGGGAUGCUUCGAUUGCACGGCAAUUUAUUUGAUUAAUAAAAUGAAACGAGAAAAGAAAGAGAGAAAGAAGACGUGGCACGUGUGUAUGUACCUGAGCUGGUCGGUAUGCACGAGCUUGCCAUACAUGGAGAUGGGCUUAUCCAGCGCAUCGUUCUCAUACAACCUCCCGGGCUCAUCGACCUUCCUUAAUAACCGGCGCUUCCUGACGGCGGCGACAACCACCUGCGCGAGGCGCGUGAAGGGGCUUCCGGCGGGGUCGAGCCUCCGGUACAGCGGGUAACCGGAGACGAAAGCCACGACGGAGAGCGCCAUGCAGAAGGCCGGCACGCCGAGUCCCCAUCCCCAUCCAACGUUGUCCUGCACGUACACCACGGCCGUGACGGCCACCAGCAUGGACGCCCCAUUGCAGAAGUAGUACCAGUUGAAGAAGCCCCAGCUCCGGGCACGCUCCGCGGCUUCCGACUCGUCGAACUGGUCCGCCCCGAACGCCACGAUGCAGGGGCGGUAACCCCCCGCGCCCACCGCGUUCAGGAGCAGGGAGACGUACAGCACGGCCAGCUGCCACGGCGCCGCCUCCUGGUUUGGCCCCGGCCGGAACUGCGGCAGCGCCGCGGAUACCGUCAGGAGGACCAUGCCCUGCAAACCGGCACGGUUAAGCUUCAGCUUAGCUCCGUUUCGAUUGAAAAAAGAGUGGAUAUUUGUGUGUGUGUGUGUGUGUGUGUGUGGGCGCGCGCGCGCGCGCGUACGAGUUGGUAGACGAGGGAGGCGCCGGCGAUGGUCCAGAAGCGGCCGAUGCAGGCGUCGGCGAGGUAGGCGCCGAUGAGAGGGGUCAUGGCGGAGGUGCCGCCGAAGUUGGUGAGGGUGGUGGCCGCCUUGGCCAGCGGCAUGUGCAUCUGCUGGGUCAGGUACGUCAGCAUGUUGGUCGAGAAACCCACCACCGCCUGCUUCUCCGCCACCUCGUUGGCUGAUUUCAUUCCAACAGUUAGUUAAGCUUAAGCUAGCGACCGAUUAAUUUGAUUCGAAACCAAUUUGCAACUUGCAAGAGAUUCAUUUUGGGGCUUACCAAAGAUGAAGGGCAUUGUUCUAAGGCCGCCUUUCUUCCUGCUCUUCUUCUUCUCUUCGAUGCCCAUGGCCGCCUCGGGCUCCAUUCGCGGUGCUUGUGGUGGUACUGCUGCACGUGUAGCAGGCCACCUCUCGCUACGCUAUCGGGAACUCGUGAUAGCAGCACUAGCUUGGCUGCACAUAUUUAUAACUAAGCUAGCUGCCUUUUUUUUUUCGAGAAACUAAGCUAGCUGCCACUGUAAACCAGCGCCGUGUCACUCGACUGUACUCUGUACUACAUGCGCGAGAUUAAUUUACAACGAAAAGGAAAAAAAAUGUAAAAUACGUUGAGGUUAGUUUCAUUAUUUGUGUAAUAUUUUGAAGGGUGUGGAUAUGUCUUAGGCGGCUGAUUUUAAAUAAAAAGGUUUAAAUUUCAGUUGAUGUAUUAGAGCCAUUGGAUUAAUAUUUGGAUGUCAUUUUGCUCUCUUUUUCCCACCAUUCAUGCCGAAUUUGAAAGCACAAACUAUAUUCAAUGGUUGAGAAAUUGACUUACCUCUAACUAAAAAUUAGCCAUCAUAUUCUGAAUACCAUCAUCGUAGUCUCAUUUAUUCCGGAGAAAGAAAAUUCUACGGGGCUGGUCUUGCAUCACACCAGUGAGCCUUUUUCUUAUAUUAGUCAACUGAUAGAUGAACGUCCCUGUUUAUUUUGAGGCAUCUUAUGGCAACUUGUAUAAUUUUCUCGGUUACACUCUCUACUUACUUUUCUUCCGCAGUCUUAUUUGUGUUUACGGUCUAUGUCGUAUUAUGUUGUCACAUUAGUGUUUCCGUAAUUACUUAACCUACAAUACUUUAUUUAUUUAUUUAUGUUUGUGAUGUGAUAUUAUGUUAGAUAUGUACGCAUACUUGCUGUUCUAGCAAAGUAUGAUUGGCAUAUCCAGUCCUAAACUAUUAAUUAGUUUAUAUUAUCCUAGGAUGAAUUGUGCCUAUCCCUUUAACUAGACAACGGAAAAAUUUAACUUAGGAUAACCCAUGGUAUAGUAAUAUGGUUCGGUCACAUAUUUAGCGUGUAAACCCAAUGCAUUUCUAUUAUAACAUGUAUAUGUUACUAAAUUAUGUAAUUUUACAUGUCCAAAAGGUAUUAUUACGACAAAUUGACUGAAAUUUAGGUUCUUAUUAAGGUACCUGAUCUCCACCCUGAAACCAUGCAAUAGGGAUUGGGACAGCAGGAAUAACGUUAUUAUUAAGGAUGGAAAUGGGAAGAACUCCCUGUGUGGAAAUAGGCCUAUUUUCAUCCCUACUCACGGGUGGGAUAUAUGUGAGACCGUAUCCCAUAGUUUUCUUUUCCUUCUAUUCCUGACCGCUUUUCAAAUUUUCGGAAGAGGAAUAAUGAGACCUUGUCAAAGAGGAUCUGGGAAUGAAGUGGCAACAAUAAAAAUAAGAACUAUGAUCCCAGGUUAAUACAUCAGUACAUCAUGUCUCUCUUGUUCCUCUAGAAAACCAUAUAUGGUUCCACCUCCGCCGUCACCCCUCCUUCGCCUGUAGAUCGUCGGCCUUCUCCUCUUCCACUGGCUCUGUUGGUGGGUGGUUGUUGUCGUCUAGAGGCUUCAAUAAGUGUAUUCAUUUGUCAAUGAUCGGUGGCGGUGAGAAGAUGUCAGCAUCAUCGGCAUGGAAUAAGGUCUCACCGCCUUGCCCUCAUUCUGGUAGUACUUAGUAUAGUCGGGAGGCAUGUGGAAGAUGGUCUGGUUCUCUCGGAGGCGGCACUCGGUGGAUGGCGAAAUUUUUUCAUCGAGAUAGUCUUCUGAGCUCUGGCUCCCCUCCAGUUCGUCUGUCGGGGGCAGAGCGCCGGCGUAGUUUUCUAUCGACCCACUAGGGGUGGUGAUGUUAGGGUUUUUUUACCUUGUGUGUGCGCCAGCGAGACAUGGUGUUAGGUUCUUUAGAUCAAUUCAAGGGUUCGACUGCGGCUCUGGGGCGCUGAUUCUUAUUAUGUUUGAGAUGUUUUGAGAUGUUUUGUACUUCUGAUGAACCUUUACAAUAGAUUUGUGUCAUUUUCGCAAAAUGAAAAGAAAUAUGAAUAUAUGACAGACACUUGAACCUUGUACACCGGAAAAUCUACCAAGUAGUCACACAAAAAAAAGAUCUACGGAGUAAAUCAUACAUACUUCUUCAUCACCGACACAUUAAAUGCAAUAAUCAUAGACACAUAAUCCCUUACCUUCCCUAAUUAAUACGUGGUAACAAGGUCAUCACAUACAAGAGAUCGGGAUAACAUCAAACCAUGACCCGCAGGAACGUAAUCAUAUUUUUCUCAACGAUGUCUUGCCCUCUACAUCGUGCAACGUCUGAUCCCUAUCAUAUAUAAUCUCUCACUCGGAGAAUAUUCUCGUCAACAGAUUAAGAAUCAACAUCCAUCAAUUAAUAUUUCGUUGAAUUAAGAACAAAGUCCAUUUUUGCCCCCUAAACAAACCGCUUGGCUCACUAUUUCCCUUAAACUUUUUGUGAGCUUACUUAGCCCCCUAAUCUAUUGCUUCUCGUCCGGUUUUGCCCCCUAACCUGGGAUUAGCCCUUGCGUGGCAAGGAUUGCGCUGAUAUGGCUGGGAUUAGUGACAAAACUGCACAAGGAAAUGAGAAGCGAUUCGUCUUGGCGUUCGUCGCCCUCAUCAAUUCGCCGAUUCGUCCUGGCGGUCGUUGCCCUCGUCGAUUUGCCACGUGAUGAAGUUGCAGUCUCUCUGGAGUUGCUGGUUACUUAGAUGGAGUUGAACAGGAGGGCAUGGAGUACUAGAGGCGUUUACUCAUAGGUGGUCUCUCACGCAUGGCCACAUGGCAAUGGUCUGCAUGAUGGAUUUAAUUUUCCUUGGAGUGUAGCAGUUGUAAUUGAUUGGCAGAUGUUUUUUUCCAUACAAAAAUCUGCGAGUUCUUAGUGUUUUUCCUUCGAUCGGAUCUGUAUCUUCAGAGAUAAUAUACCUUCACGAUUCUGUGCCCCAACGAUCAGAUUGUUUCCGCCUCGAUCAUCCGUCUCUGUCCGCCGUCGCGCGAGAGAGAUACGAGCAGAACAGUUCUGUUCUGAAAAAAGGGCGUGAUACAUGGCCCUCUCCACCUGGAUUCUGCGGUUAUGUCGCUAAUCCCGGCGAUAUAAGCGCAUUCCCGGCCACGUAAGGGCUAAUCCCAAAUUAGGAGGCAAAACCAGACGAGAAGCAAUAGAUUGGGGGUUAAGUAGCUUACAAAAAGUUUAAGGGAAAAAGUGAGCCAAAUGGUUUGUUUAGGGGGCAAAAAUGGACUUUGUUCUUGCCUUCCUAUAUAAUUUGCUCUUCAUCAGAGUCCACGACUAGUCCAACGAAUGUAACCCUUCAUGAAACCCCUGCCAAUAAAUUUCCAUCGGAUCUACUUGUUCUAAGGGGUCAGUAUGCACAUUGCAUAAAUUCCUCGGAUUUUCUCCGCAUAUUUGUCCUUGCUUGCUCUUAUAAAUCUAGGCACGCUAUAAAGAAAGGGACUGAUCGAGCUUGCAAUAGUUCGAGGCCGAUCCGCUCUCUGUUGGCUUUUCUCUAGACUUAAGGCCACAGCUAGCCACGUAAUGGUGCCAAACGCUAGAAAAUGGCUUCCACAUUGAGUAAUACUGAUCGGUCGGUGUUGUACGAGAAUCCAGUUGGAACGAGACAUCCGGCCAGCAUCUAGCGCCCUGCAAAUCUGCAAACCCAUGUCCCAAAUCCCAAUGGAGAUUAGACCCCUAGAGAUCUUGAUAGGUGAACGAGUUUGACCGGAUCGAGCCAUGCAUCAAGGAGGAGAUUGCACGUGUACGUUUUGAUUGAUCAGUGGAUUGCCUGCCUGCCCAUUGCAGGAGAGAUCGAUGAGAGUGCCGUUGUCGCUCAGAGACAUAAAAGAAAAGAAAAGAAAAGAGAUUGCCGUGGUUAAUUUGGUCGACAACAGCGGAUCAUGUGGUACGCAACAAAAGCCGGGAGGGGAUACGUUCCGGAAUUUUCAAUUAGACAUGCCCUGCUACACAUAAACGACAAUGCUAGCCCGUUGAUCAACCGUAUCACGGACCAUAUAGGCACAUACAACUACAAAAGACACUAUAGCAGUAUACAGUAGCACGACUGCAAAAGCAAAUCCUGUAGAUGUGCCCAACAAUCACGCAGCGCUGCAUCAUCCUGUAGACGUAUUAAACAAAAGUCGAAUCAGUGCACUGCUAUCUUUAAUCACGUACGCACGUCGUGCUCAGUGAAUUUAGCAUGACCGGUUAAAACGUCGAUGUCCAAAAGACCACGACAGGAGCAGAAAUCGAGCGAUUGCCAAAUCCUGAUCAGAUCCUUUCGGUGAUCCCAUUUUCCGCCUACGAGUCUACGCCUGCAUUAACCUCACUCGAUCCAUGAUUGAGCCGGCCGCCUACGAGUCUACGCCUGCAUUAACCUCACUCGAUCCAUGAUUGAGCCGUGCUUAGACCAACCAACCAUCCGGUCCAUGAGUCCAUCUCUAGUCUAGUGCUCUCGUGAACGACCAGCUUCUUCUUCCACUAUCGGGUAGCCGACCACACGGUAGGCUGGCAUCGGCGUCCUCCGAUCUACGUACCUACCUAGAGCUGGGACCAAUCAACAGUGUCCAGGAAAUGGUGGCCCUGCCUCCGUUUUGUUUUGUAUCCUUGCAGCUUUAUGUAUGUACUGUUACAAGCGUAAAAGUGCAAGAGACAAGAGCAAGAAAACCCGACAUGCAAAGCAGAGGCAGUGGCUGUAGAUCGAUUGUGCAUGCGUCCUUCUGUUGGGUCGACAAGAGGAGGAGGAGGAUGAGAGAACGUGCACGCAUAUGUUAUCCUCUUGCGCUGCUUGUUGCUGGCUCUCACAUCUUGAUCAGAGAAACAGACAGAGAUGGAGCACGCAUACUUCGUCACAUGCGUGUCUCGCCAUUGGGUUUCUGAUAAGGGAAGGCCCGUCCUUUUGCUUUUGGACAAUGGAAAAGGAAUUGCCCAAGGAAUUGAAGGGAGAGGCAGGAAUGUUCAGCUCCAAGAGGAGAUGUCAGGCGGAUGGUGACGACUGACAAGACAGCUCACAUGGCCAAGUGCCGGUCGACCGAGCUGUACAAACUUGUUGUUGUACGUGGUGAUGCAUGCGACUGAAGCUUAGAUGGUUCGUUGCCGUGAAUGGAGAACUGAGUGUGAUCGAUGGUGAGAAAGAAUCCUUUGUCUUUUCUGCACAAGAUUCAUCUUGCCGCCGUCUUUGUGUUUCCUUUUCAUACACAGAACGAACUUCUGCUAUGUGAACUGUAUUCAGAGUUUCCUGUAUUGUUGUUGGAUUGGUUCAGGGCCCUUGCCGGCAUCAAUCAUGAUCCUGGCUAGUGAGCUUGUAUAUGUACUCUACAAUGUUUGACACAUUAUGGUGAUCAUGAAACUUCAGUUGUCCUAACUUGUCUUCAUAAAGAGGAACAUGUUUGUCCCUGUGAUAUUACUAGUUGUUAAGACUAUUCAAAUGGAGUAAAAUGUAUAAUACCAACUUCGUUGGCAGACUCAUGUGUGUUUGAUUGAAAGAACCACAGGGUUUGUGGGGUGAAACAUCUAACAGGACACUUUGUCAAGUGCACUAGCAAGUAAGUCCAACUUCUUUAAGAAGAAAGAAGCAAGUCCAACAAUGCCAAACCGACGAAUGAUUGAGCUGAGAGAUCAGGGAGAAGAAAGACCCACUUGCUAGUGUCACAACCAAUUUGGUCCCGUGCUUUCUGAAUCACAUGUGACUUUGCUCAAACUCAACAACGAUUACAAGUACAGUAUUUCAAAUCAUAGAUCCAAAAAAUACCAAGCAAUACCUAUAACUAGUAAUUACAAGUCGUCUCCAUCCAUGCAACAUGAAAAAUUGCCGAGCAUUUAACAAGGAGACUGUAAUUAGAAUGUAACGACAUCGCUGCUACUUGUAGCAUUGCACUAACUUAAUUAUCUUCAAAGGUUUUAAAAAUCCCUUUCAGUCGCCCAUCCUAAAAGAUGAAAAGACUCCAAAUUAAAGAAUUAUUACACCAAUAAAAACACUAUGACACACUAACAAAAACUCAUCAAAUCCGUAUGAAAAGAUCUACGAGGUCACAAAUUCAAAAUCCUCAAGAUUGAGUACAUUGAACCUAUUGUAAGUAGAACUCUCUAGCUCUAUGGCAUCACCCGAUAACAGAGGAAGUACUAGAAUGCACUUAUUCUCGACGGCAUCGCAACUUUCACCAUAGUGUCAUCAAUAAUGACCACACAAUUCAUAUUGUUAAACCUGAGCUGCCCCCCCCCCCCCCCACCCCACUUUGCAACGCCAAGAUGACAAGAGGUGAGGGGAACUAACACAUCCUUAACGAUGGCACUACGCAGUUGAUCUCAAACCCAAACCCUAUUUUCAUUUUUCCAUGCCGGAUAACAGGAAUGUGACGGUAAGUGAAAAAUUGAGGUUCUUUGGAAGUAUGAGCCCCAAAAUUGUGGCUGUUUGAAUGUGAUUAUGUGUUGCACACAAGCACAACACUGAAGUUGCAGUUUUCUAAAGUACUCCCUCCAGUUCUAAAUUCUUGUCAUAACCACCACAACAAGAAUGAGUUGGGUCCAUAUAACCCCUCAACUAUCACAAACCAGCUACUUCACCCCCUCAACUACAAAACCGGGCACUUAACCCCCUCAACUAUCAAAAACCGGUCAAACCACCCCCUCAGGCCAAAUCGAGCUGGUUUCACAGGCGGUUUUGCCAACGUGGAAAUGCCACGCUGUCUCACCCCUCAACUUUGGACUGGAGCGGCAGGAACCCCCCUCAACUUUGGGCCGGCUGCUUCUUUUUCCCUCCCCUUUCAUUACCCUCUCCCUCACAAGUUAAGGUUCAUCUCAAAAGGCGAAAUUGGGAGGCGGCAGCAGUAGCGAAAGCUCGAGCUCGUCAAGAGGCUCGACGGCAGUGAGGGCCGCUUGUUCAAAUCUAGAAAACGAAGAGCAUAUACAUCAGAGUUAGGUUUGGGCACUGACCUUCUCCUUUUGAUGCCAUGGGAUCGUCGAUUCAUGCCAGCGAUCAUCCAUCGCCACCAAGUCGUCGUCUUACGAAAGAAGCCCCGAGGGGGGGGGGGGGUAGAGCAAAGAAGACGAAGCGGCAAGGGGCUUAAUCGCAAAUAACCCCCUCCCCUAAGCCCCGAUUCCAGCUUCAUUUGGCCCGAGGCGGUGAUUUGCCCGGUUUUUGAUAGUUGAGAGGAUUAAGUGCCCGGUUUUGUAGUUGAGGAGGUGAAAUAGCCGGUUUGUGAUAAUUGAGGGGGUUAUAUGGACUUAACUCCAACAAGAAUAUAUGAUCACCACGACAAGAUUUUAGGAUCAGAGUGAGUACUUGUUUAAAUCAUAAGCAAAAGCAUGAGAAACAUAUUUGAGUAGCAUAUAUAAAGGGAAACACGAAUAUACUCACUGAUACACUGGAUUUAGGCCCAAGGGUGCAUUUGGUUGGAACUUAGAAAUCACAUCUACCCAUUCAUAUAAGGGCUCAAUGCUAGUGACAUCUCCCUCCUUCCAACAAAAGAUGUCUCAAGUUUGUCGAAAUUUGGAUGCAUCUAAACAUGACUUAGUAUAUAGAUAUUCAAAUUUAGUUGAAGUUGAGACAUCUUUUGUUGGAUGGGAUGAGUAUAAAGCUUUGGUAAGAAAAACCGCAGAGAAUUCUCUAAACGUUCAGCAAUGAGUCACCAUGAAUUGAAAUAUAGGCACAUCUGAUCAUAUCAAAGGCCUACAGGUUCAAGGAAAGAGAGAAAUAUCUUCCUGCGCAACAGAUUACCAGUUUAAGAGAUAAGAGUUGACAAAACGGAUGGAGCACAUUUCCCUUUUGACAAUAUUAAUAUGUACUUAGAAAUUAAAACAGUCAGAAGCAUUGCAGAAACGGCAAGUAUCGGCGGUACUACUGAGCAGGAAGAAAUAAGAUUGACAAUGAACUGCACGGCCUCUGCCUCGCUUUUUCUUUGGUAACACCAAUCUAACAUCUAUUGUUGAUCCUCAUACUCAUGGCCAUGAUCCAAAAGGUAGUUGGCAGCCAGCUCUUCAUCCCUGUUGCAAGCAAAGAAGACCUCCAACACAAGCUCACGGUUGAAUCCCAUGGCCUCAAGCUGCCAGACAAACAAAUAUAAUUAGACAACAAAAUUACCACUCAUGCUUACAAUCAAAUAAUUGUAUAGUUAAUAAAUAUCUGAGUCAAAUGUGUCAGACAAACAUCCAGCAAAAGGGAAGAACAAGCAGGAUAUUGCAACACCAUGUAAUUUGUCAUCAGACACGUUGAGGCACACAAGCAUAGAACUGAGCACAAGUCUUGCAUGAUGGAAUGAAAGUAAAGAGAUGUAUCUAUACAGCACGUGACAUAAUUUAUAGAACAAAUUAAAAUAUUUGUGUAAAUUCCGUCCGAGUACACAAACUUUUUAGCAUCCAUCCAGUGUCGAAAAUCACAUGCAAGAUCAAACCUAUGCUAUACAGGAUAACCCAACACACUCCUUAGCACUAGUGGUCUAGCUAGAAAUAUAAUAGUUCUGUAUAUUUCAAAAGUUUCUAAAAAAGCUCAGAGGCAAUUAUUGUGCACUACGUGGCAAUACAAUGCCCCGAUGCAAAUUUACGUGAACAUACGUUUCUGUAAUCUAUAGAAAAAGGAGUAAAAAUUUCCUUUAAUCCAGCAUCCUUUGUUCUUUUUGCGCAGAUCACAGUUCACAAAUGCAAAUACGUUUUCACAAAAUUUGUAAGUUUAGUGUAUUGCCACAUGUAUAUGGGGAUUGAUGUGGAUUUUUUUUUAAUGUGAACCACACUUGAAGAAAAUAUAUAAAAUAAAAUGUGAAGUGGUGCUCAGGACUAAAAAACCAACUGUCUAUACAGCAUAAUUAUGACUAAAUUGCAACAUAUAAAAUGACGGACACAGCUGUAGUGACACCUCAUUAAAUUUAUAUUCUCAGAAAGUUGUUAUUUCUACAGUUUAUGUCCCCAGGGCUUUCACUAAAAGCACUGAAAAUAGCAAAAGCUUAGGUAAACAGAGUACUAACAAGAACAGUGUGUGUAUUCUUCACUUACAUACCUAACUCAAAUUGAAGUUUUGAUGUAACAGAGCAAUUGAUACAUACUAUCCCUUAAUAAUGGGUAGUUUAAACAAUCAAUAGCGAAAAUAGUUGCAAAACACAAACACUCAUGUAGAGAAAUUAAAAAGGUUUUAGAAAUUAGUACUCCCUCCAUCCCAUAUUACUUGUCUCAAAUUUGCUCAUGUAAUAUUUCUGUAAUAUUUAAAAAGCGUCUAGAUACAUGUAAUAUUUUGACAAGUAACAUGGGUCGGAGGGUGUAAAACAAAUAAUCAAAUGUACCCGCUGGAUGGACUCCCGUUCUUCAGGGGUAACGGUCACAGCCGCCUGUGGCAUUGCAGCUGCUAGUUGGCCUAGUAUAUUUCUGUUUGAACAAAGAGCGGAGAAUAUAGUGUAAAUAUUGUUUGCACAGAUGCAUAACAAGCGCACAUAGUUGAGUAAUGUUUCUUAAUUCUUACCCGGCAGCACCACUCUCAGGUGUUUCAUUCACCAAGCGGAGGAACUCAGCCUGAUUUUCCUGAAUCAACCGCAGGAUCUGCGGAUUUUGUUUCCCUAGCUCUUGAAGCAUUGGCUGUGAACACACAGUAUCAGUAUCAUACCAUUAUGCGCUUAUUACACCACAGCAACUAAUUUUUUUUCAAGUACCAAAAACUUCACUAAAUUAAUAGGCUUCUUAUACGUAUACCUGUAAGAUUUGAGGAUUAGCCUGGACCAAUGCAAGCAGUGCCUGGAACUGAAAGGAACAAGCACACAAGUGUGAGGAAUUGUAACACGUUUAGCGGCCAACCUGAAUAUAAAGAUUAAACUGCUAGUACCUGCGGAAGCGCUCGCAGUGCAUCAAGGGCACCGGCGCCCGCACCCACACCAGCACCAGGAUUGGACCCACCAGUUGGAACACCCUAUUAAGUUAUUUCAAAUGAAAACAAGUAAAACACUCACCCAGAAAAUUUUGUUUUCAGAAUAUACAUGUACAAUAGGCAGCAACUGUAAUUGCAGCAUAUAAGAAAGCUGCAGAAUGCAUCAGGGGGAUAGAGGUGCAGCGCUGCUUGUAUUUGUAUUUUCCACACCAAGACUGAAGACAUAUCUAAUCCAAAUUGACCAAGAUGAUGCCAUGAAAUUCUCCUCCAGUACAUCAGUACUGAUCUUUAGAUUAAUCAUGCUUCUGAUGAUGCAUAUGGUAUUUAACUAAGUGUAAAAAAAAAUAGUGGUAUGUCCACAACUCCGAUUGCUUUGUAAUAUUGUAACUAUCUGAUUCCAUGUAAAAUUAUCCUGGAAAUAUAAAGGUCCGAAGGUACAUGUAAAGCACAUACCUGAGGGAAAAGGUUAAGAGGAUUUGCAUUAGGCCCUGCGGAGGCGACACCCGAUGGCUGCACUGGUGGCACGGGUGCAGCCUGAGAGAGAGCUUGCGGGUUUGUUGCCUGUUGAACUGGAGCAGGUGCUCGAGCCACAGGUGGAGCCUCUACAUUCUCAGGUAUUCCCUAGCAUAAAAACGAAUGAAACUUAGUUGGUUAUUCUUUUAUGCCAACUCUUUAUAAUUUUAUGCAUAACAUGAACUUACAGAAUAUAGAUAGUCAAUAGCUCUCUCAGGGUUGUUAUAUGCAGCACGUAAAGCACGGACAACCAUAUCACGUUCCCAGGUGCCACCACCCAUGUCAAGAAUAUGUUGGACUGUCUGUUCUAGGCUGCCGCCUGAGACAAGGUUUGAUGCAGCCUGACUGUAAACAUCAGCGUCACCUCUAUACAGCACAAACACAUUAAAGCAGCAUUACUUAUGGUGAAAAUGCAGCACAAGCACAUUAGAGCAAUAUUAAUUAUAGUAAAAACAAGUGAUGCAAAAGCAAAGAGAAUGUGGAAGCUUCUUAUUGGCUCAACUGUCAAAGAAAAAAAUUCAGUAACCACAUAUACAUCUACAACCAGUUUGAAGCUUCUUAUUGGCUCAACUGUCAAAGAAAAUAUAACACAAUACUGCAUGUCCUGUGGUAGCAUGGAGUACAAAUGACAAUGUAUGCAUGGAGUAAAUGUAAUGUCAUAAUUUCAUGUAAAAUGUUAAUCUAAUGAAAAAUGACAAUGUAUGCAUGGAGUACAAUAUUUUAUAAUGUCAACUGAUGCAUUUCAUAAUUGCAUUAAUAUAUUUGUGUGGAACUUCUACAGUAAUGUAUAAUGUCAUAAUUUCCCAAGUUUCAUUAAUAUACUUAUGUGAAACUUCUACUGUAAAUGUAAUGUCAUACACAAUAUUUUCUAUGAUUCAAGCAGUACAACUCAAAGAAUAUUAAAUUAAUAAUUUAUAUUUCUACAGAUGUCAAAAUAAAAUACUCUGGUAUGGCCAGUUUAUUCUCCAUGUAUGUACCAGUAAAACAACUACUAUCAAAUUAUAAAUUCCUUCUCUUCUCAUGAAUCCCAAAAAGUUCAGAACUCCACUUCAAAAAGAAGAAAAGGUAGGUUUCACAACAGGAAUCAACGAUGGCAUAACCGUACAUGCCGUCUAACAGGAAAACAAAGGAGAAACAUGUGGCCUCACCAAUGCAAAAAAAUAGAUAAGCAUUUAAAGUUAGAAGGUAAUCUGUAACUAGAAAUCACAAGGACAAAGCACUAGAAAAUACAAUUAACAAAUCUGCUACACACAUUAUGAACUAAACAGAAAAAUGAUAGCUUCUAACGGAAUGAGAUGAAAGAUGCAAAAGGGGCUCACGAUGCAGUUACUGCAGCAGCUGGAAUAUCAGAACCAGCUGGAGGCUGUGCACUGGGUGGGGCCCUAUGAACGAGAAGGUUAAUAACCAAGAGAGAUGACAUAUUUCAAAUUUUCAAUACAAGAUUUGGAGGAAUAGAUAACUCACAGUUCAGAUGCAGAAACAGGUGCUGUUGAAGGUGGUGUUCUUGCAACUGGGGUAGCAGGGCCAGACGGAGUAGCAGCAGCCACUGGAGUAGCAGGUUGAGCCUAUUGCGAAGUGAUAAAUAAUUUUUUCCAGUAAGACACUAAUAAACAAGGAUAUCCAAAAUCACAAAGAAGUAAAUUUAACACAGUGUAAUUAUAUGAUACAAAAUGAAAAUUUUCUACAAUUUUGUCCAUGAACAAGCUAAAGGGAACACCAACACUGAAGUCAAGAAGGUUAUGACUUUUUUUAUCACAGAGCUCCAACAUUCUUACUAUUAUUUAUGAAAUACAACUUUUCAGGUUCAGUAAACCAAGUACGAACGUUCUUUAAUUUAAGACCUCCACAACCAAUUCUAAAGAAACAGGGACACCACAUGGCAGAGCACUGUUGAUGCAAUUGCUUUCCUGUAUUCAUUUGUUGGUUCAAGAUGCAAGGUAAGAAUGGUGAUGCAGAAUAAACACAAAAUUGACAAACAAGGCUGGAAACUGCACAAGAAAUGACUAGAUAUUAAUAGAAAUGUGAAGGGGCAGAUGACUGCAAAGAACAUAAUGCAGUAUAGUUGCUACCAAAUACUGCAACACGAAGAAAAAGAAAUUAACAAGCUUGAGUUUAAAUAUCUAAUUAUAUCUACAAAUUUUACCUGGAUAGUAGGGGCCUUUGAAGCAGUAGAAGGACCACUCGGUGAUGCCUUAGCCUACAAAUUUUAUGCAUAUCAUAUCACUACUAAUAUCAGAUAAUUGUGGCACUAAUUUUUACCUAAGUUGACAAGCCUUUAAACACAGUAGAAGUGUGCUAUCAAUAUUAUUGAGAACACCUAAAUGUGGAAUCCAAAACAACUAAAACACAGAACAUCAAUGUUUAUACUGCUUCCUUUAAGCAGCAGGCUAAUAAAAAUGCAAAGAGGCAUAGCCCGCUUUUGAUUAACAUAUAAUAGGAAAUUGUAAUGUAGCGGAUAUAACAUGCAAGGUGGAAAAAAUACGCUGUCCAAGUGGGUGGAGAAUAUCUUAUCUAAUCUCACAUAUCAAUGAUUUGAAAGCUCAUUGGUUACGAACACAGGAAAUGAACAAAGCAACAGGUAAGAUAAUAUUGUAACACAGGAAAUGAACAAAUUAGGCUUAUUAGUUAUGUCUAGCUCUGCUAAUCCUUCCUAUUUAGUUUCUCCUUCCUUUGAACACGAACAGCGCAUAUCCCAAAAAUUGAUGGACGUAAACGGCCGUAGGUUCUGAUGGAUCUAUGUCCAACAAAAGGUUCCUACGCUCAUGCUCUAUGCAUUAUAAUAAGUGGUAUUCCACUAUGGAGAAUCACCUUAGACAGCAUUAUAACAAGGAAGCUGUUCUCAGCAACGUUGUUGCCUUCCAAAGUGGUAUCAUCCUUGAGAAUUUUGCCUUGAUGUAUGAGCAUCUGCUGAUCCGCAGGGUACACAUUCUGCCCCUGAGCACCUUCAAUGAUUCUCUUGACCUCAGCCACCUGCAAAACAGAGCCAAUGAUAAGCACAGUACCACUAGUUCCAAAGCAAACCAUCAUAUAUUGCAGCAUCAAUCACAUUGACUAACCAGACUUCCAGAGAUAGCUGGACAUAUGUCAAUUACAACGCGACAGUACCUAACAUGCCAAAUUCAGAGCACCAAAACGAUGUAAAAUUACAGACAUAGGCGCCCGAACACUCUAGACUCCCCUCUGUGACCGAUCCGCACCACGCGUUCACCACAGGUACAGCAGAGCUGAACAUCUACUAAACCCUAGAUUUAGAUUUUCUAAAAACGCGUCAUCGACACAAGGGAACCUAAUCCCUGUACCAAGCCGGGAACGAAUCGCAACACGGGGGCCCCAAAUCGAGCAAAUUGCUCGAGAAUUGCGCCGAAUCGCACGGAUUGAAGACGGAAGGGGGGAAGAUGGGAUAGGGAUCGUACCGACGCCUCGGGGCUAGCCUCGAUCUCGAAGUUCGUGCCCUUGAGGGUCUUCACGAACAGCUUCAUCGUGACUUCUCCUCCACCCUCUUGCUCAAACUUCUCUCUCUACAACAAACUCGCGCUAUCCCUAUCUGAGUCUUGCUUCGCCUUGAGGGUUUUCACCUUGACUUCGCCUCCAGUGGGGAGGACGACGCGGCCGCACGAGGGGAGUAAGUUAUAGGCGAGAAAAAAAAUCUGGAGCCGGAGCGAAAUGAUAUCUGAUAGAGAUACUGGUUUCUAGCCACGUUCGCUGACGCGUGGGGCCGUAAACGGAUUGGACCAGUUGCCAGUGGGAGGGACAGGUGUCCGAUCACGAGACUGGACAGUUCGGCUGCUCCGUUGCGAUGUGUGGCUCGAUCUGUGUCCCAGGACUUGCGUGUAUUUGGGGCAAUUUCGUUGGGACUAUUUUUUUCGUGUGACUACUGGAGAGCCCAGCUUUGUGACUACCCAAAGGUGUGUUCGGAUGUCCUCUGCUUUUCAAAAUCCGUAGAUCCAACUUUUCGAUAGCGAUUCCAGCGUCUGACUCGGAGCUAAACAUGUUUGGUGCUACUCCUCGUUUGCUACUGGGCUGGAAGCCCAUUAAUCAACUUGGCCCAGCCAGUCUUGGAUGGAAUCGAUGGGAUCUUGCUCGCUGUGCCAGAGAACGGAACAACGGGGAAUGGGGCGACGGCGGUCAUUGCUGUAUCAAGAGACUGUGCUGGAGAAUGGGGCAGAGGGCGGAGAUUCGGACGGAGCAGGUGCCUGCACAGGGGAACAAGAGAGGAGGAAGAGAAGGCCGCAGAAUUGGCAAGGGUGGGGAUGGGGGUGGCUACCGGAGAACGGGGAAGGAGAAGUCCGUCGGAGAAGGAGGGAGGAGGAGGCCGCGCCGGAGAACGGGGACGAGGAGGGCGGCCACGGGGAAAGCCGUGCAAAGACUGUAUCGGGAAACGAGGUCAGGGAAGAGAAAUAGAUCUGAACCGUUUUUUCAUUAAAACGGUGGCAACAUUGCUGUAAUUUCGCACUGCUCCGUGUUUUCAUGUUUCGGGAAUCUUCAAAAGAGGUGCUCCAGUUUUGUACACAAAAUUGGUGUUCCGCGUUGGAGUUUGGGGAAGCUGUAAGCUUCCGAACACACCCUAAGCCGGCUUGCUCAGGCCCAACAUCGAAUGCAAGGUAACUCAAGUGACCGUCAGGAACCGUGGGCUGCGUUACUAACCGAGCCUAGGACCUUGUAAGCGUGCGUGUCUGAGAGCAACUCCAGCCGCCACUCCUAAAGGCCCCCUAAAUGGUUUUGGGGGCCGCCGGCCCGUAAAAUCCGACCCAGCCGGCCUCCCCAAAAUAUUUUUUUAGCCGGCGCGUCCCAGAAAGUUAGCCGGCGCCCCAAGGCCACACCCAGCCCACGGGGAGGCGAGCGGGGGCGCCGGCGCCUCGCGUUAUUGCGGCGGGCCUGUCUUGUCAGCGGCUAUUGAUCGCUCUCACCGGUAUCCCACCGGCUUCCCCGAGGCGAUUAAUGUCGGUCGGCCCGCCGGUUGCCACCCGGCCGCCCCCGCGCAUUGCCGACGCCCAUUAUCACCGCGUUCACACCUCGCCGGUUCACGUUCCGCCGCUAUAAAAGCGCCCCCCCCCCCCCCCCCGCGGUGCUCGCCAUUCCCCUCACUGGCCCCUCCUCCCUCGCCCUCUCCUCUCACUCGUCCACUAGAUGGCCGGCAACAACUGGGACGAGCGGCGGUGGCUUCGCCUCGACGAGGCCAAGGCAAUUCGGCGGGCCGGCACCCUAUUGCCGCCGGUCUGCCGCCUCCUCCACGGCUGGCAUCUCAGCUGGGGCGGUAGGCCCGUCGCACCGGCGGGAGCGCAUCUGGGCGCGCUUCGUCCACGCCCUGACACCGGAGCAGCAGGCUUCGACAGAGUGGGACCGGAGUUUGCUCGGGAGGUCGGCUCCGAUCUUCACCGUGCGCGUGGCGUCAUCUUGGGAGACGCAUACUUCCUUGAGAUCUCCUUCGGGUAGGGGCUUAGGGAUGUAGCGCUCCGGGUGGACAGUUUCGGGUGCUCCCACGUUCGAAAGCAUGUUGAUACUCUUAGAUGAUUCUUCCUUCUCGGUGCACUUGGUCCCAUGGCGGUAGAGCGUCUUCCUAUCGGAAGAUUGCUCGCCACGGAACUUCAUGCACAAGAAGUUGUGGUGGAUGGCGGUGCAGAGACGGUUUAACGUCGUCCUUCCGAGGAUGGCGUUAAAGGAGGCCUCCAUAUCCACCACGUCGAAGCGCACGAGCUCGGUUCGAUGAUUCGUGGCGUCUCCGAAGGUCGUGAUGAGCUCAAUUUGUCCAAGCGGCUGAAUGGACUUCCCUGGCACGAAGCCGGUGACAAGAUAAAGGGAUGGCUACACCGAGCCGUUCUUGUAUCCCCCUUGCGGUUCCAUCAGCUUCUUCAAUUUGCUUAGAUAUAGGAUGUCGGCGGACCUUCCGCCAUCCACAAGAGUCUUCUUGAGCUCACAAUUGGCGACGAUCGCCAUCACGAAGAGGGCGUCGUCGUGUGGGAAGCGUAUCCCCUAGGCGUCUUCCUCCGUGAAGGCAAUUGGCACGCUCGCCCACUUUAGUGGCGGUGUCGGGGUGAAGGUUCCCAUGACGUUGACUUCGCGAGCAUACUCCUUGCGUUGCUGCUUCGAUCCCCGGCCCGUGGCGGAGCCCCCGAGUAUCAAUUCGACGUGACGCGUGGGUUCCUGAAACGGGAGGUUAUCCUCCUUAGGUGCUGGAUCAGCGACAAGGACGUUGGCGGGGCGUGGAGCCUCGGCUGUCUUCUCAUCCUUGCGCCGGGCUUGCAUUCGUGCUUGGAACUCUUCGCGAGCCGCGAUGAGAGUGUUGCAUUCUUUGGUGUUGUGGCUUGCCGAGUUGUGGAUGAGGCAUCUUCCAGUUCCUCCCUCGGCGGGGCGAGGUGGCUUCUUGGGUUGCCAAGUCUUUUUGGGACGAUGCUUGUGCUUCGACAGCGAAGAUCUUCCGGGCUUGGUCGCCGGGAGCCUUUUUCCCCCACCUCCUCUUCUUCUUGGAGCUCCUUCGGGAGAGUUCCUUCGGGAGCGGCACGCGGUGCGUCCUUUUUGGCAAUGUCCCCGUCUUCGUCCCGAGCGUAUUCCUGCAAGAUUCGAUAGAGCUCCUCGGUCGUCUUCGGAGGAUUGCGACUUAUGGCCCGAUUCACUUCUCCUUGGAGAAGGCCUUGCAUGCAUGCGUCAAUCAUGAUGGUCGACGGUGGGUUGGAGAUUUGGCUUCGUACCUUCGCAAAGCGAUGGAAGAAGCUUCGGAGGGAUUCCCCCGGCUUUUGUUUCACGGCGUAUAGCUCGUGAGCCUGCACGGGUUCUUUGAAGUUUCCCUAAAAGUUGGCGAUUAAGACCUCUUAGAGGCGCUCCCACGAGUGCACGGAGUUCUUUCGCAGGUUAUAAAACCAAGUUUGCGACAUCCCGGUGAGCGCGAGCGGAAAGAGGUUGCAGAUCUCAACGGGACCUCCCCCGGCAGCCCGUUUGGUGGUGGAGUAGACAUCCAAGAACUAAAGAGGAUUUGACUCCCCAUCGUACGGUCGUAUCGUAGGCGGCUUGAACCUUGGCGGAAAAGGCGCGUCUUGAAUCUCCCGUGUGAGCGGGUUACAAGUCGGCCGGUUCUUCCGGUUCCUUCUGCGGCGAGGUCCUCCCUCGUCGGAGUCGCUUUUGUCGCUAGAAGGGUCACCUGGAGAAUGAUCUCGGCGUUUUCUUGAGGGGUCGCAACGUCGAUGGGAAUUUCUUUCGCCGCCGGGACGGGCUCCGGACUCCGCUACUUGCUCAUUUCCAUGCACGCUGGGGUCUCAUUCUCCGCGAGGCAUAGCUUGAGGUGGUACUUGGUUCCCACCUUGCUCGACCCCGGCGGGGGAGCAAGGGGCGCUUGCGGGGCGUUCACCAAGUGAGGUUGGUGUCGAGCAUGCGCAUCUUGGAGAGCGCCAUUUGGCGGAAGCCCCCAAUAAGGAUGAUACCAACGAGCUCCAUGGGCGAUGACGGCGAGUGCCAACGGAGGCAGUCCUGAGUUGGAGGGGUCGUAAGCCGGGACUCCUUGGUUUUCUGGCGCGGAUUCUCCUGAAGUGUUUCUCUUGUAGGUUCUGAGGGCAGGGUCACUACCGGUUGUAGGGAAGGUGGCGCAAAACCCAUCGAGCGAGGCAUGUCGAGUUCCGUAUCCCCUGCGGGGGCGGCAACUGUAGGCAGCUCACCGAUCCUUGCCACUACGUCGGUGAGUGUCGAGGGACCGCCUACGAUGGUUUCGAGCACCUCGGUUUCUUCAGGGACGGCCGGGAGCGGAGGUGCGACCACGACUUCCGUCGUGGCAACCAUGCUUGCGGCGACGUCCGGAUUGGUGAGCACUCCUUCUUCCUCGGGAGCCCACGAGGCGUUUGCUUUCUUUGUUUGCAACCGUGUAGACAUCGCGGCAAGUUGGGCACCCGAUGAAGUAGGCUUCGUCGGGGCCAUUAAAUCUUCAAUUGCAACGAGGGUUCCCCACGGUCGGCGCCACUGUUGUUGUUCUCAACAACAAUUAGAGUAAAGGGUGCCAAUGCUCGAUGGCACAAGCGCGAGUAUAAAAUAGGGCGUGUACGCCGGCCUUAUAGCGAAGAUCGCCGUACACUUGGACAAGUUGACAUGUCGAUACUUUUUGAGUAGGUUCGGUCGACCCUGCGGGUGUGACCUAGUCCUAUGUUAGGAGAGGCUUCGAGGAAAUCGUUAGCCAAAGUGUUUCGGGACGAUCGAGGCUCCCCGAAUCACUUAGCGAGAGGUCGAAAGGGGCCACCUCGUACUUGGGCCGAGCGAGGCUUUCCAAGUAGCGAGGUCGAGAUACCAUUAGGACUCUAACCCGAUUCCCUCUCCUUCGGGCUCGGGCCGAACGAGACUUCCCGAAAUCCCGAAACUAGAGCUCCUCUCAAAGAGGCUCUCUAGACCUCUCCCCUUGAGUUUAUUUAAGUUGAGAGUGAAUGGUGCAUGCCCCAUGGGGGGUAUUUAGGGGCUGUUUGGUUUAAGCCCCAACAAACCCCACCAAAAUUUUGGCAUGACCAAAAGAGGGGCAUGACCAAAUUUUUGGUAAAUAGAUGUUGUUUGGAUUACAACCAAUGUAAAUGGCCAAGUUUUUGGCAAUGCAUGAUGCUACAAUUAUUCAUUGCAAGACUAGCAUGAUCUACUUCUCAAUAGUCAAUUCAAAAUCUAGGAGUAAUCAUGGAUUAGAGAAGGUGAUUAAGAUAGAGUUGGAAAAAGUUUCUCGCAAGAAAAAGGGGAAGUGUUGUUGAACUUUUCAUUUAAUGCAGCCGUCACUUGAUAACUAGAGAACAUAGAGAUAGGUAAGAUCUUAUUAGAUGCGUACAGGCCCGAACAGAAGAUACGCAAGGCUGUACUGUUGUUCGUUUCACAGGAGGAGGUAAUUAGCCAUCGACCGAGUAAAUAGGCUGGGACCCACCGUGGAUUAAAUGGCGAUGGCACGUUGCCAAUUCUCUAGCGAAGUUUUUCGCCACCCUCAACUCACCAACGAUUUCCAUGGGAUAGGGCGGGCGCGCCCGCGGCAGGCUGGGCGAGCCAAAUAUUCGGCCUUCGUCCAAACGGUGGCCAAAUAUCACGGGCGGACCAAUAUUUUGGUAGGGUCGGUUUUGGUUGUAAACCAAACAGCCCCUUAUAUCCUAGGGGUCCAUGACAAAAGACCAUGGCUACCCUUAAUGGAGAGAGAAAAGUGGGGGCAAAAUGGUAAAAGUAGCUUCUUGGUAUAUAAGUUUUGUGUGCACCAAGUGGGAAAAGUGGGGGUUGGUCCAUGGUCCACCAUGGACUAAAGGCCCCAUCCUAACAUCUUUCUUGUCCACUACUUAAGCUUAUUUCUCUCUUUGACCAAGACAUGAGAGGCUUAAGUUGUUGACUAGUCUUAAUUAUUGUCACGUAAGAUUGACCGUGCCACGUAGACAUCUUGACUCUUGUAGAGAAAUGUUGACUUGGUCGUUGCCACGUAGAAAUCACGACCCAGCCCUAUAAAGGUUUUAUUUUAAAACAACAUACAUGAAUCAUGUUCUUACAAUCCUGAGCGAGAAGCUCGUCAAUGAUCGGAGGAGACUCCAGCUGCAACGCCGCAACGUUUACACCUCCUUUAGCAAAAGACACUAAAGCAUGAGCUACUUCUAUAAUCUCUUAUUCACUAAACUCAACUGAAAACUCAUUUGAGAAGAAUAGCACGAGAUGAACGGAGAUGUUCAUGUGCCGCCAUGUCCCAACGACGAUCAUCAUCAAGUCGCGGAAAUUCGCUCAGUAUGAUUCUUCGUAAAAGCUUUAGUAUUAUUCAUUUUCGACCUUCGUGAUCACAGGAAAUUCCUUGGAUCCUCAACAAGAUAGUAACAUCGGUGAUCGGGAUAUUUGAAAAGAAAAGCAACUAAAUUAAGCAGUUUCGACGAGUUGUUUUGUGUUGUCAUUUCAUGACACGAGCCCACACAGCCUGCAGCAGUCAUGUGCGUGUGCAUGCAAACCGACGGCAUUGCACGAUCGGCAGAGCUACGCGACGCAGGCCGUGGCGACGGCAACGCCGUUGGCCCGCUUGACGAAGCGGCCCUUCAUCCGUGGCCGCUUCUCGGCGUUGAGCUUGCGCACCUCGUACCGAAUCUUCUUGGAGAAGAGCCGCGUCCGCCGCUUCUCUCGGUACCGCGACACCCGCGCGUCCCUGCCGCCGUCCAUCUUCGUCCUCGGCGUUCGCAGCUCCUCCGUGCCAUGGCCAACGAGCACUCCUCCCAUCAUCCAAACGCUCAUCUGCACAUCGAAAUUACCUCAUCAAGGUUAGCAUCUUAGCAUAUACAGGGACGCACAGGACCGAUGUGCAAGAAGAGUUCAGACGCCGAAGCCGGCGCGUAACGUAAAGUAUGGUACGUACCGAGUAGUCGUGUGGCCAGCAGCCGUCGAGCUUGACGUCCGGCCUCUUGCCGUCGGCCCACGGCGACUUCUCCCACUUGUCGAUGAUGGCCUCGUAGUUUAGAUUGAGCGAGAGGCUCCUCGGAAGGAAUCGUGCGGCACUCCCGCUGGCCGCAUUCUCGUCCGGCGUGGCCUGAGGUGAGCCGUAGUCGUCGUCGAAGUCGAUGCCGAGCAUAUUGCCGGACACCUCCGUCUCCGGCUCCCGCUCGAGGCCGCACGCCAGAAACAUGCCUCUAGCCUCGCCGUCGGUCUCCAUCUUGACUCGCCCGCCGGCACCGUCCACGUCAACCAUCGGCUGGAUGAGCCCCAAUGCCUCCAUGCAGAACGGCUCCUCCUCGGUCCCUUCGUCCAGGCCGCGGCCAAGAAGCGCUUCCAUGUCGGCCGCGAACUCCAUGAGCUCGGCGUCCGUGGGGCCGAAGCUGACGACGCUGUCGGGGAAGAAUUGAUCAACUGCCAGAGACGGCGCCGCAGGCUCCGUCGGGCUCUCGAGCACAACGACGCGGUCCUCGUUGCAGCACGACGCGUAGUCUUCGAGAUGCCGCGGCGACGACGGCGAGCAGAGCUCCGCGAGGGCGGGGUCAAAAACGGGCACGCUGUACAGCAGCUCCUCCUCGUCAGUCUCCCCCUCAAAUAACUUGUGCUCCUCCGGCGAGCCUUCCCCACCGGACGCCUCGUCCGGCACCACGACGGGCCGCCGCGACGACAGCAGAUGCCCGAUGACGCUCUUGCCGCGCGGGGUCCGCGGCUUGCGCUUGAACCAGGCCGGGACGACCUCGUCCCCGCGCCUGGCCCGCGGGCCGCCGGCUCCGGCCUGAAGCGGCGACGUGGGCCGCAGGCGCACUCGCUCGUGCCGCCGAGCGAGAGGGUUCGCGGAGUGCACCGACGCGUCGCACGCCUGGCAGAGGAACGCGUCGUCCGCGGCGCAGUACCACCUGGCCCGCCGCCGCAGGCAGCCGUCGCAGGCGCGCGCCGCCUUGCUCCCCAUCGCGCCGGCCGCCGCCUUAGCCAACGAGCUGCUCAUCAAAAAAUCAAACCACACUAGCUGGCUGGCUGGCUACUCGCCUAGCUACUCCCGUCGUGUCGGCGCUGUACCGUACUGUACGUAGAAACGGGAAUGUAUCUCCGGCGAAAAUAUCGCGGGGUGGGUUUAUAGCAGGCAUGGCGGAUCGAGGUGGCCCCGGCUCGUACGCUUUUUCUGGGCCCGCGCGGGGUGUACUUUGCACUUUUGGUGCGUCUGUUGGCCACAACCGCGGGCCUUAUCUGCGUCCUGAUUGGCUGAAAGGUAAGACACAUCCAGCACGUAGGCCUCUGAUUGGCUCGUGCCGGAUUUUUGGUGGGGGCCUCCCUCCCUUUGGGCUACGCGACGAUCGGGCCCAGAAAGGCCUUUCCGUGUCGCACUCGUGGUUGCUCUGCGGUUUGCUACGUCGCCGGAGACGGGAUCCACUAGGACGUGCCGGGACCCUGGUAGAAACAUCGUUCGCCGGAGAAAGGGUCAUUUGUUUUUCUACCAGGCUCACUGCAAAAACAUCGUUCCCGAAAUCCAUGAUGCUUGCCACUUGUAGAAUAGACCAGGUUUCUAACUACGAGUAUCAAGAAGGCACCAUUUCUCACGGACCGGCCUAAAGCGAGCGUUAGGCAGGUCCGGGGACGGAUGCGAGGGGUUCUUGUGAUGAGCCGCUAAACCUUUGGUAAUAUAGGUUAAAGGUUAGCCUUUUACAAUCUGUGCGGUCGAAAGGUCGGUCUGUUCGGUUCCUACGAUGGACCUCUUUCCUUCUCAAACACGACUGAUCGAGGCAUCAAGUUACGAUCAAUCCAUUCAAUACACAGAAACAAGAAAUAGCGGCUUCCAAGCAGGCGAGAAAUAAGCAAUACAUUUAUAUACAUGUCGAGGGAUAUGAAUGGAGAACAACGAUGCGAGAACCAUGGUUCCAGUGUUGAUUUGUGAACCAACGAAACAGCGAAUGGAAGAAAUGUGUGAUCGAAGGGCCGACGCUAGGGUCGAUCUAAUUAUGGCUUUGCUUGGCCCUUCUAAAAGAUGUAUCGGUAUCCCGAUGGCAAACCUUAGAGUGAACUAAAGAGGUUUUUUUUCUUUUUCGAAGAAGCAUACAAAAGAGACCUCCACGCCUAAAUCUAUACCUAUCUAAAAAAUACGAAUCGUUUCCUUCACUAUCCUCCGUCAAACUUUCCAUAAAAUUUGUGGAUCCUCAGGAUUGCAUGUAUAUUAGGCCUACUAAGCCGGCUGGCCCACUACCUGCACUGAAUCUAUCUAUAUCUAUAUCUAUACCAAUGUAAAAAAUACGGACCGUUUCAUCUUUUUUCCUUCCUUUUUUCGUCAAGCUCCUUAGACCCACCUCGUCCGCCCGCCCGCAACCACUCCUUUGUCUGCUCCAGACGGCCGAGCUCCCUUCUCCUGACGCAGCCCAAUAGGAGACCCUUCCUAAUCCAACAAAACUACUUCCCCUGACGCGGCGGAAAAAACGCAAUUAAAAGCCCAAAGAUAUCUCUUCAUACAUUCGACCUUACUCUCUUGCUUUGGUGAUGCUCGUUAUCUAUAGGUGCAACGGCAGAUUGAUCCUGCGAUGCAGCAUAUGGUCCAGCAUGCGGUGCUUCCUUCCAUCCGAGAGCGGGUGGCUCUGGCAUGCAGGCUCCAUCUUGUCAUACACCGUUUAAUUCUACAGAAAACAGGGGAACAACCUCGUUCUCUCAGCCCUCAUCCCCAUCGUGUUGAUCUGAGCCAUUCUGACUCAGUUCGCAUCCCACUGGUUUCUUUCGAACUGAGCUCGUCUCUGACUAGGUUAGACCCUCACAUAGUAACACUAAGAUAGGCAGAGCUGAGAGGCUCUUAGGAGUUCAAGUAGCUAGCCCGGGGAGCCACCCUCGGUAACCUGUAAACACCCUUAAAUCAAUGGAAUCCAAGCACAAAAGCAGGACGUAGGGUAUUACACCUCCGGGUGGCCCGAACCUGGGUAAACUCCUCAGUGUCACACUUUGUGUCUUCGUCACGUCGGCGAUCACUCGGGAGCCGCUACGACAACGUGCGCUAAGGUGGUUCAGUCGUGAUUACGGGGGAUGAUUGAGGAGGGGAAAAGAAAGGGAAAGGCCAUGAGAUACGGUUCAGAGCACCUGGACGGGUCACGGGCCGAGGAGGCAUCGUCGAGGGCGGAGAUUGCAGCGGCCGGCGCGUGUGUGUGCUGUUUUUGGCACGAGGAAGAAGACGGGCAAAGGCGCUCGUCCGAGCAUGGGCUGGACGCUCUCGGGGAAGCUGACCCAAGAAGGAGAACGGGUGUGGCCCAAGAGAAAAAAAAACAAAAAAAGAGAAAAAAAACUAAAAGUGGUUUGACUGGGCCGUGGGAGCGCACGGGCAUUCUGCUAGUAUGGAAAAAAGAUAUCACCCAUGGCGUCGGGGAUUUUUUAAUCAUGCAUGUGUUGGCAUAGAUGAUGCUGUGGGACUUGGCGGUUGAUGGGCACCUUUUUUUCUUGGACAGCGGCGUGCGGUUGAUGAGCACCUAAUUGGAACGUAGCAGCAAGGUCAGGGUGCGCUUACAAAACACUCGGACUCGCGUUGAUGUGUUGAUGCAGACGUGAGAUAUGCCAAAAUGUGUUUAUUUGUAUGGUUAAGAUAGUGCCUUGUAAAUGUCGUUAAAAGAAAAAAAAGAAUGAGCCAAAUUUGGUGCCGGGAUAGAAAGUAAGCAGUACUCCCUCCGAUUCUAAAUUCUUAUCUCAAAUUUGUCCAAAUAUAGAUGUAUCUAUUCUUAAAACGCGUUGAUACAUGUAAUAUUUCGUCAAUAAUUUAGGAUCGGUAGUUAUUAACUACAGUUAAGAAACCAAAUUAGUUAGCUAUGCAACAUCUUCGUCCAAGGUGACAUCAUAUAUAGGACGUAUACAUUUAUGCAUAUAAAGGUAUACAAGAUAUAUAUGAAUAUACGGUAUAAGUUACACCUAUACAUUUCGGGGAGUAUAAAUAUCCAAGUCUCCAAAGCUGCAUACAGAUUGUGUAGAUGGUUGGUGCACGUGGGCUUGCUUUACCCAGAAAUAUCGUUCUGCUAGUUUCCAAGAUCGCUCCAGAAAUUAUAAUCUUUAGAAAAAAGUCCAUUUUGAAUCCUGAACUUGUAGAACUUGUCUGAAUCAAACCCUAACCUUCUAAUCCUGGGUUCUCAGCCCCUCACCUAUCUAACCCGGAUCAAUUUAAACAUUAUCCCGAAAUUUCCUGUUUGGCUAGGUCAGGUUAACGACGUGUCUUAGGAUCUGGUGAGCGAGCAUUGUAUGUGGGUCCCGGCUACUUAUUUUUAUAAGGUUAUACCUGAAAAAAUCACUCGAAAAAAAUUACCCACAUUUUUUUCUAAAAAAAACUACUAGGCAUCUGGUGAGGAUAUCGGCAUUCUUCGAGAGCAUACGCGCCGGGAGUGCCGGUUCCGGCGAGCAGCGAGCCAAGCCAUCGCCCCGCCUAAGAAAAUGUAUCAGAAGACCUUAGCCAACAUAGUUAAAAAUAUAUUUAAAGACGCUCUAAGAAAAUUAGUAACGGUUAUUCUCGUUAGUUAUUUCCUAAACAUAGUUAAAAAUAUCAAAAUUAAAAAAAUAAGAGAUACCCUCCGUCCCAUAAUAUGAGGCACGCACGUAUUCCUAAAUCAUCAAUUUGAUUAAUUAAAUAUAUAUUUUUCUUAACAAAAAGUACAUCAUUAGAUUUAUCAUCGAAAGAACUUUCUAAUGUCAUAAUUUUAAUUAUUUAAUUUCUAUUUAAUUAGCUAAAUUAACGAUUUAGGAAUGCGUGCGUGCCUCAUAUUAUGGGACGGACGGAGUACGAGAGCAUCAUUUGGGUCCUUCCUCUAGUCUUAGCCAGCAAUCCCGGUGUUACGUCAACAAAACCAGUCCGCCAAACACCAUUUUCGGGAUUAAGGGGCUUAAUUGACCGGGAUAGUAAGGUCAAGGUCUGAAAUUUAAGGAUUCAAAAGUUAAGGUCUGAUUCAGACUUUGUCUACAAGUUCAGGGUUGAAAAUAGACUUUUCUCCAAUCUUUAUAUGGUAUGUGCAUAGCUGGAUCUUUAUGCCGCACCAAUACAUGCGUAGGUGUCCAUAAUCAAAUCAGAAAGAAAAAACAUUUGCGAGAGCACACUAUAAACCUCAAGGUAGAGUUUGAGUAGUUAUCGUUUGACUGGUUAGCAAUAUUCGUAUUGAUAUUGAGCAUCUGAUUCCUAUAUUUCUAGAAAGGGGAUAACCAUGCCAAGUUCGUGCCUACGUGCCAAGGGAUUUGGCAGUUGGUAUGCUCACCCACACUAGCGUUGUACGGCACAUUCGUCCGCUUUCAAUAUUUUAGCCACUUCUCCAAAGUGUCGCUUUUGUUAUGUUCCCGACACAGAAAGGAGCACAGGCAAUAAGACUUCCACGUCACUCCAAAGUCCAAACACACAGGUGAUUGAAGGCCAAGAAUCUCGUUUCUGGACUUAACAAAGAUACAAAUGACAGUAUUACUGCAAUUUUAUUCGCCAUAAUUUUCAUGGCUCCUAUGGAAGGGGAAAAUCAUACUGUCCUCGUCAACAAUAUAGGACUUCUUAUCCUGUUUUCGUGGAUAAUGGACAAAGAUCUUCCCCAUUAUCUAUAGUGUGAGAUGUGCACACGCUCAACCUCAAACCAUCAGGAAGCACGCUUUACCUUGAUGUGCCACGAAAGUAUUUACAAACUUGCAGAAUCUUCCUUUUGCCUUUUUACUUACAAGGAUGUAGUACACUCAUGCAUGCCCACUAAUACAUGCAUGUAUGCGCGUUCUAGUGAAAUACAUACUAGAUUUAAAGCGAGGGAAACUCAGACAGGUUGCGCGUAACUUUACCAAUUAUCUUUACUAUUCCUUAAUUUGCAGUUGCGUCCGUGGUAGACCGUAGUCUCGUACGUCGUCCCAACUUUAGAGAAAUUACAUCUCUGUGCCACCGCCCGAACUCCCGAAUCGUUUUUCUUCUCUUUCGUUCUCUCGCGUCACACCCCGCCCGCUGCGGCCCGCGCACGGCCACCACCGCCCACCCGCCUCUCCUCUCCCUAAAUCUCUCAUCUCCACCGGAACCGACUCGAUCUCUUCCUCUCCCUCACAAUCUCUCCCGCGCCCGUCCCUCCAUGUGCCAGUCCACGCUGCUGUCGCCAUGGGAUGGAGGACUGCCGGUCCCCACGGACGCCGCCGUCCCGCCGCCGAGGACGGGCGCCUGAGGAGAGCUCCGCCGUCAUGGCCUCCUCCUCCGGUUCCAGUCGCCACCACCUCGUCCCCCCUCGAGGAAAAGCGCACGGCGACGACUUCGCGUCAUCGGAUCCGGCCUCCCCCAGCCUCGACGCCGCAGGGACUGUUAGAGUAAUCUUGAGUUUGAGUCUAGCUAGGUGCAUGUGUUUGUGUCCUACAGAUUAGGAGUGUGUCUAUGCGUGAGUUAGUAGUGUUCAUGUGCAUGUGUGAUUCAGCGUGAGUUGUGUUCGAGUAGGACUAGUAUUCCGUAUGGUGUUGGGCUUGUGCGUGUAUAUAUACGCAUGCAACCCUCUAACUUGCAAUCAAGGUGGUGGGAUUUGAGAUAUUGAGAAGAAAUAAAAAGAGAGGCACGACAGGUGCAUCUGGCCAAAUAAAUUCCCGACCGUGGGCGUCUUCAUGUGACUGAUCUUUGGGCAAACCCAACAUUUGGUAUCAGAGCGAGGUCCAAGAUUUGAAGACGUGCUUGCCCCGGGGAGGCGAUGUGCUAGCGCCUCGGGGCGGGCAACGAUGGCGGAGCGGCGUCCGCGGAUUGAAGCGGUCAAUCGGCUGAGUGGCGUCUGCAGAUCAAAACGAGCGAUCUGGGGCUGUGCGGUGGAGUAGAGUGCAACGGAUUGGAUCGAGUUGUCGUUGUGGUGGGCCGAUCUUCUAGUAACGGGAGAUCAUAAUACUGAUUGCCGGAAAGUACUCAGCAUCAGGGCAAACUAUCAUCGGCAAGCUCGUUGAAGAGUUAUGCGUGUCCAGAUCAGCGUCUGUGAGUCGUGGUUGUGUUCGAGUGCUCGUCGGUGCGAGGCUCUGUUGCAGUGGAAGCAUGUUACGGUCGAAGGUUGUCCGGUAUGGUGUGUCAUCGGAGCAAGAGAUCGACGUGCGUGCAGACAAGGUGGCAUGUGGCCAUCUCCGUGUCUCGGCAAGAAGAUCAAAAUUGGCGUGUAGUGGGACCAUGAACAGUUUAGUUGAGUUCCUGCGUGAGAUUAAUGGUGCGUCUAAUCUGCACGUAGCACGCGAGAUGUGUCCGCAUGGGCUGGUAGUCCGGAUCAUGCGUUGAGUUGAGUCGACGAGUCGUGAAGCUGAAGAGAGCCAAGAUCAGGGAGAGCGCAUGAAGACAGCAACUUCAAGAUUAGGAGGAGAUUGUUAGAGUAAUCUUGAGUUUGAGUCUAGCUAGGUGCAUGUGUUUGUGUCCUAAUCAGAUUAGGAGUGUGUCUAUGCGUGAGUUAGUAGUGUUCAUGUGCAUGUGUGAUUCAGCGUGAGUUGUGUUCGAGUAGAACUAGUAUUCCGUAUGGUGUUGGGCUUGUGCAUGUAUAUAUACGCAUGCAACCCUCUAACUUGUAAUCAAGGUGGUGGGAUUUGAGAUAUUGAGAAGAAAUAAAAAGAGAGGCACGACAGGUGCAUCUGGCCAAAUAAAUUCCUGAUCGUGUGCGUCUUCAUGUGACUGAUCUUUGGGCAAACCCAACAGGGACUGGGCUCCUCCGACCCUGCCGCGGUCGGAUCCGGCUUUCCCCGACCCCUCUCUGGAGAUCGAUUCGUCUCAUCACCUAUCAAAGCCGCCGCGUUGAUGAACUGUGCCUCCAGAGUUUGAAGUGCCGCCGCCGCCUCCAUGGGAAUCGUCACCGCCGCCUCCUGGAAUCACCAAUCGGCGCUGCCGGUUCACUCUACGCGGCCCGACCUCAAGGAAUCGAGCCGCCCGUGUCUCCAAAGGUCGAGAUCGCCACCUCGACUCAAGCCGCCGCCUCCUCAGAUUGAGGCCGGCGCCUCCAUGCUCCUCCAACCGCCUCCUCAGUGGCUACUCCCAUUGCCGAGCUACGCGAGUUCGUCACCAGGCACUCAGAAUCGCACAAGAAUUAAUUUAUGGCAUCAUAUGUUUUCUUUUACUAAAAUUACCUAUGCAGGAGUCCUCUUUGGAGAUUAAAAUAAAUGUCUCUGCUGGAAUGAAAAUCAUGUUCCCUUUUGCCGAACAAACACAAUGGAAUUUGGAGAACAGGAGCCUACAGAUUUCCUUAUGUUUAAUUACACUUUUACUGAAUGGUGCACAAGUUCCAAAGAUAGCUCUACUGUUUUAAUUAUUUAAGAUUAAUGGUCUUGCUAGAAGGUCAAAGCUAUAAAUUGUAUGUUUUAGGAAAUAUCAUCUCUUGCUUAUUGGCAGAGUAACUGAUUGCUUAGUUGGUCAAAACUGCUGGAGCCUUUGAAAGAGUUAAGACCAUUAAUCAAGGAGGUACGUCUAGCUGGCCAUUAAGGGCAAGUAUGCUAAGCUUACUACUGAUUAUGUGUACCCAUGUCAACAUAGACUUCACUAAGACCUCUUGAUGAAAUUUUAUUUGUGUUCACUGCAUAAAGCCAUAAACCAUGUUUGGCUUGUAGGUAGUUCCUAUUACCUCCAUGAUGUAUUUGCUAGCAUGAUGUGUUGCAUUUUAAUUGUCUUUUUCUUGUUCAAUAGGGCAGAUUUGGUAUUUGGGAGUGGAAGAAACAUGGCUAAAGCAAGUGUUUAUUUUCAGGCUAAUGCUUACCGAAUUAAUCUGUUCCCUUUCUGUAGAACUCUGCUAUUGGUUUAACUAAGUACCACCUUAGUGUUUGAUAUAUACUCCUAAAAUAGCCAGGCUUGUGCUGAACCAUGAUUGGUUAGUGACCUGUUGAGUGUUGACCUAUAUGUUGUUUGAAUAGCCAGACACUGGCUGAGAAAAACUUCAAUUGGGGAUUGAAGUUUAGUGCCCUGAAUGUUGGUUGUUUUUACUGCACAAGUUGACACAGUCCAGAGAGCGGGAGGAUCAUCAAGGAUCAACAUAUCAAGUGAGCUACUCGAAAUGAUGUGAGAAAGAAGGUGGCUGAUACUUGGGUGCGAUGGCGAUGGAACUGGAGAAGUCAGCUUAAGUUUCUACGUGUAUCUAAAUAUUGUCAUUUAAAAUACACAAGAGUGGUUAUAUUACUGAUCCUGUAGGUACCAGAUUACCAAUCCAUUACAACCUUCAACAAAUGAGUUGUUCAAAAGAAAGUUCUGAGAAAAGUGUUACUUUCAGUUAUUCGUGUAGUCAAAGGAAUACUUUUGCCACUAAUUUACCAAAAUAGAACUACAUAAGUACUACCUUGCCUUGUCAGUAGUAGAAGCUUUUUUUUUUUUUUUUCUGAAGUAGGCAUAGGUCUCAGCUUCUCAAGUAAAUUCUCGAGGUUAGUUUGUUCAUGUUCUUCGGUUAACUUGCAUUCUGUAACGCCGAUUUUGUUUUGCACGAAUGUCAGGCCAUUUUUAGUGAACAAAUUGGAGCCACAAUAUCUACUUGAUGGCCGCAGAAAAGUAUAUGAGUUAUUAUCACUGAAGAAUUCAUUCACUUCUCUGUUACUCAAUAGAACAAUCUUCAUAUUCUGAUCAAAAUCAAAUACACUCCAAGGUAAUUUAUCUCUUUAUUUGUACAAUUUCCUUGUACACAACAGCGAUCUUUUUCUGCAUGCUAUCAAGUUAGUGGUUCAUUAUAUUGGUCAUGGUAGGAAGCUCUUGACUGAAGGGGAUGUACAGUUGAGCCACAUGUUUUAGAGGUAGGAAAAUUAGUUUUAUGCUAUCAAGACUUGAUGAGUUCAUCUUUUCAGCCUUCCACUGUAGGAAACUGAAAAAUGCCCGGAACAAAUGCAAAAUGUACUUAGAAAAGUGCACAUAUGAACGAAUGUUUUAUUUCUCGCUAUUGGUGCAUAAUUUUUUUUGUUGAAAAUGAUUCUCUUCGUAUUCAUCAGCCGCAAAUCUCUAAUCAUGUAUUUAUUGUUGUCCGCAAAUUUCUAAUCAUGUAUACAUUAUUGUUGUUUUUGUCUCUCCGUUGCAACGCACGGGCACUUAGCUAGUAUAUGUAUAUGCUCGAUUUGGGCAUAUUCUCCCAGUGAAACCCACGAAGGUGCCGGAUCCUCCUCCAAAUAAUACGGAGUACGUACAUCCAAGUGGGAUUUGGCCGCGAGUGAGAUCCUAACCCAGGGCAUCAACAUCAAGCCCAUCAUUGCGGUCCAGUGGGAGAAGAAGGGCACAUUUGAUGAUCCAAGGCAUAUUUGUGCCAAUUGCACAGUGUAUGUCCAAAGUAUAGUGGUAGGUGGUAACGCCACAGGCCCACAGCCCAGACCCUCUCAAAAAUUUGAACAAGGCCAUAUAAAACCUCAUUAUAAAUUGGUUGACAGUGAAAGGUUGAGUUAAACUUUAUUUGAAACGAACCUUAGGAAACUUUCUCUUUGGUACUAGAGGCUGGCUAUUAUGUGUUUAUCCACUACUGACUCAAGUCCUUGUCGAGGUGUACCUGUUGUCCUCAUACACAAUACGUGUCGCUUUCAAAGAGAGAAAAUACAAAUGGAGCAUAUAUAGGAUUUGAGCUAACGUCAUAUAAAGGGGUCUGAAAGGAGGGAGGGACGCGUCUUGACAAGUGAAUGGCCAGCCGAGAGUAGGGAAUAAGUGGUAGUCCGAGUUAUUGCCCCACACAAAACCACAAAAUAAGAGGUUCUCACACAGCACACACAGGCACUAAUACUUAUUACAUGCAUAUGGAAAGCAUUAGGACAGAUCAAAAUAUAUGUAGCAUACAUCUUCAGUUGCUUCAUGUUUAUGAUCAGGUUCUUCAUCUUCAGAUUCUUCAUGCUCAGAAAACACCUAUUUCUUACUCCUGGGUUUCUUCUGAUCAUGCUUAGCUUUCUUGGUUGCAUCUUCAUCAUCACUGUGGGAUUGCUUUUGCUUUUUCUUCUGACUCUAAGAUUCAAUGUCAUUUUUUGCCAGGCCAAAUCUUUCGUUGAGGUUCCUUAUAAUCUUCUUGGAGAUCUCUGGCGGCUUGGCAGAGCAGGCUAAGCAGUGCCUAUCAACACAAGUGUUGUGCUUAUAACCUCCAUUCUUCUUAUUAAUCCUUUCACUUCUUCUCACCUCUGUGACAACCAGAGGUGCCUUUUUUUCUCUCUUUCCUCUGAUAGCAGAAGUGGAGGCAAUGUCAGGGAGGCAUGGCAGUUUUGUAGGGGCAUGUGGAGUAAGGUAACCCUUACUUAUCAUAGCUGCUCUGGCAGUGAGAUCACAUUUCAAUGGUGAUGAGCUAGGACAUGUAUCAGGUAUAUAAAAAUCUUUAGAUAAUGGAGCAUUCUCUGAAAAGAUGGUCCACAUGUUGGACAAAAGUACCUUACUGGCCCAUUCAAAACUCUCAGGGGAGAUUAGGGAGGCAGUGAAGAAAUCAACCCAUGGCUGAGGGACUGAUAUAGAAUUCCUGUUGCUCCUAGGGCAGAAGUGCUUUAUCCAUAUCUCAUUGCUAUCAGUUGAAGUAUGAAGCAGUUCCAGGUUUGGUUUAGUAAGGUGUGGUCCAUAUAAAGCAGGAAAGUUCUCCUGUGGGUGGUUGAAUGGAGGAAUGAUGACCCUACCAAUCUGCAUAUUCUCUUGACCAUCAUUCAACAUAUUAUUAUGACCAGCAUGGACAUUCUGCAAAUCAUGGUGAAUAUUCUCACUAGCUGCAGUAGGCAGUUGCAUUUGGUCAGCAGGCUGGGCAUCAGGUGCAGCAAUGAAAUGCAGAGCAUGCAUAUCCUGAUCCUGUGGCAUUUGAAGAAGAACAUCCUCCAAGUGAAUGUGUUGGACAUUCUGUUCAGGUGCAACAAUCUGAAAAGCAUUGACCAGGGCAUUCUGUGGUGGCUCAUGUUGAAUGACAUUAAGAUCUAGAUUCAGCACCGGAUUACCCUGUUGGGCCAUAACAUGCAGGGGCCCAGGAGGUAUUCCACUGACAGAUCCUUUAGACAAAAGUGGUGCUGGUGCAUUUGAACUAAGUGAUAAGGUCAGUGCACUUUCAUCAUCCUAGUCAGGUGCUGGAUUGGGGAUAACUGCUGCUUGAUUUCCCUCAGGAAGGAAAAAGAGGUCAUGUGCAUUUGCACCAGCAUUAUGCAGAGCUUGGUCCCAUGGGCCCCAGAAAUCCGCUUCCAUGUUAAGAUCAGGGAUGAUAGGGCCAUGAUUUGCAUUAUUCCCAUGGUCUUCUUCAAAAGGCAGAACUGGGAGUGGGUGGGGUGUGUCCCCAUCGCCAGGUCGAGCAUCUUCGUCAGUUGGGAGUGCACUCAUGAAAGCCUGAUGAAGGAUAUAAACAGGGGCAACCCAUGUUUCUCCUUGAAAGUCAGAUCCAUGGGACAAAAGAAGGCUGUAAGGAACCAAAGAAAGAUCCACCACUUUGACCUUGAUGAUGAUUCUAGAGUAGUUGUUCACAGUUCUAUCCCAGAGAAUAAGCUUUCCCCAAUCAGCAAUGGCAUUAGCAAUGUGCUCAGAUGUCCAAAUGUCAAGAUGAAACCCUAAGAUCAUGAGCCAAACUUCCUGGUUAUAGGUGAAACCCCUCCAGUUCUGGGCUCGGUUAUGCUCAGUGAAGGUAAAAGUGAUGCCAUUGUGUUGGUGCGGACCAUUACGAACUAGCCAAUCUCUAUCAAUGGCGGAGUGCAGACGAACAAAUGCAUCACCAAUCGCACUACGCUAAAUAUGUUCGACCUGAAGCUGAAGAUGCUCAGCAAGAAGAUGAUUCAGAUACCUCGAGUCUCCUCAAAGAGAGCAUCAGGAUUCGGAGGAGGCUGGAGAGUCACAAUCGCGACAUCCUCGUUUUGCGGCUCAAUGCGACCACGGAUAUGGUAUCUGCUGUGCUGUGGUCGUCCCUCCGCGUCAAUGAUGUCGAAGAGCCCGAGGACGAACGGCACCGGGUCGACGACGAAGUUCGCCAUUAGUGAGCUUCGAGUGUCGGAGCUGCCGAGGGCGCAUAGGCAGGAUGGGGUUUUGGUGGAGCUUCGGUGGAAGACGAAGGACCCCCCCCCCCCACCACCACCACCCCCUGAGCAAUAGAAUAAUGGGCAAAAUCACUGAAUGAGGAGUAGUAUCGGGGUGCUUGGUGGUGCUCGGCCGUGGAUCUAAACCACGUGUCAGUCAUCCCCUUAGGCCAGUGAGAUUUGGACACCUUUGGAAAUUUGGGGGCAGGAGAAAUUCCUGUAAAAUACCCAAAAAUUGGUGACUUAGCAAAAGUAGCCCCUUCCUUCCUUGCGCGGCAAAAUCUGUAUGUGUGCCUAGGCUUAUAACAGAAUCUACAGUGCAUAGCAUUCCUGCACCGGCUAAAAUGAUGGCCCAUUUUUAGGCAUCGGGCACAUGUGGGCUGCGGCCCAUUAACUCCUGGUGAAACAUAAUGGCAUUGAUUGAAUUGAAUGUCCAAUUGAUUGCCCUGAUUAGCCACCUCCUGAGACUGCUCGCAUGUGAUCUGUGGUUCGAAUACCGUCUUCUCCGGCAAUGGUGCGAGCAAGGGUUCCGCCGCCGCCGAGUUGGCCGGAAAAGUUAAUCUUCGGAAAAUAGUACCAAUAGCCACCGGCUUUUGCUGCUGAUCCCUGAAUUUAGCAAUAUGAUUCUCUUUGCACUGCUAGAUAUCUUCAACUGAAUAUCCUGCAUCAGCGAGAUCAAACUCCUUGGUCCUGCUCCAGGGUGACAAUGGCGGGGAUGAGGCCUUUGAUCCCAAUCUAUUGAAAACCGAUUGCCGAGAAAUAGGAACAUCAUUAGAGCCAGUGAGGUAGUUCGUGCCUGAGCUGCAACUUGUACAAAGCUUCUACUAGCCCGGGGAGGAGAUUGUGCCUUCUUGGGAGAUUCCCAUUUUAGGAGUUCCUCUUUUUCCCAUGCAGCAAAUUCCUUGAUGAAAUCUGGCCCUCCAAAGCCCCAAAGAUGGAAGUAAACCACAAAAUUGGUGCACGUAAAAGAAUUGAGCCCAGCAAUGUGAAAGCCAAUGUUCUUGUUAGUAACAUAGAAUCUGAAAGUGCGGUCCCGGAGGUGGCAGACACGGAAUUCCUCUAGUGAUCCCCCAAGGCACAUUGAGCAGAUUACCCACCGAUUCCUCAAUGCGACAGAACUUGCAUCGUCCAAAGGAGGCAACCAUGAAGAAAUUUGGUCGCCUAGAUGGGGGAACGGUGAUUGGCAGCCGCCACCUGUGCAUACAUUCUUGCCGGAGAUUUUCCCUAGGUCGGUGAUCGAUUUGAAGAUCCAUACCUUGUGAUGAAUUCUUACCAUGUGGUGGAGCCGCAGCUGCAGUUGGCUCCACCGGUCUUUUUUCCAUGACCGAGAGAUCCAUGGCCGCCAUAGAGGAGGAUCCUGGGUGGGCGAGGUGGGAGGGCAGUCGGCCGUGUUUCCAUGGCCGAGAGAUCCAGUGAGGCCGCCAUAAGGACGGCGAGGUCGCCAUAGCCUCAGAGCUUUUGUUUCCGUCAAAUGUUACUGACGAAAAAAUGCUCAAAGAAAUGGAAGUGGCGGCUGCGUUCUUGUUCGCGCUCCAAAAGGAAUCCAGAAUAUUAGGGGUAUUAAUGCUGAUAAUUGCAAAAAAAAUAGAGGAAAGUGGAUGCUCCAUUAUUUGUCUUCAAGAAACCAAGAAAGAAACUUUCGACCCAAACUUCAUUCACAAUUUCUGCCCUCGAAGAUUCACUAAAUUUCAUUACCUGCCAUCUGUGGGGAGAUAAGGGGGUCUUUUAGUGGCUUGGGUUGGAUCACUCUUUUCUGGAGAAUUACUUUUUACGAACGAUUUCUCAUUGUCUAUCAACUUCAAAUGGCUCAAAUCGGGCAAGGAAUGGAUUUUGACCAAUAUUUAUGGUCCCUGUACUGAUGACAAGAAGAAAGAUUUCAUCAACUGGCUGAACCAAAUAGAUAUGCCUGACACCAUGGAUUGGUUGAUCCUUGGGGAUUUCAAUUUCAUUCGAUCACCUGACGACCGAAAUCGGCCUGGUGGAAACAUUGCUGAUAUGUUGGCCUUUAAUGACACUAUAAGCAAUUUUGGUUGGGUAGAAUUACCUCUGAAAGGAAGAAAAUUUACCUGGAGUAAUAUGCAAAAUGAACCACUUAAAAAGUUGGAUUGGUGUUUCACAUAUCUGAGCUGGACUUUGAACUAUCCAUCGACAGAAUCCUUUCCACUAGCCAAAUCUACUACAGAUCACGUCCCUUAUGUGAUUAAAAUUGGCACCAGUAUCCCAAGAUCACAUGUCUUUAGUGAAAACAACUGGAUCAACAAACCAGGAUUCAAGCAGAUUGUCCAGGAGGCAUGGAAUUGUCACCACCACAUCACUGAGUCUGGCAAAAAGAUAUCUGCCAGGAUAAAAACGCUCAGAUAUAGGAUGAGAAAAUGGACCAAAAUGCCAUCUGAGAUGGACUCACUUAUUGAAGAUCUCAAUUGUGUCAUUUUACUUCUUGAUGGUAUUGAGGAUACUUGAGGGCUUACACAGGAAGAAUUCUGUUUCAGAAAUAAAUGCAAGGACACACUAGAUGAAUGUCUCACUUCCCAGAAAACUUUUUGGAAGCAGAGGGGAAAAAUUAAAUGGGUUAAGCUGGGAGAUGAAAAUUCCAAAUUCUUUCACUCUCUUGCUACAAUCCAACAUAGAAGGAACCACAUCACCUGUGUCAAAAGGCUUGAUGGUUCUAUGGAGUUUGAACAUGAGGGCAAGGCUGCACUCUUAUGGGAAGCAUUGAAAGACAGAUUGGGCAAACCUGCUGGAGCCACCUUUCCAUUUAAUCUGAUGGACAUGUUGCAGCAACAUGCAGAUCUCUCUUGCUUGGAAGUCCCAUUUACUAUUGAGAAAAUUGACAGAGUAAUUCAAAAAUUACCUCAUAACAGAUCUACUAGACCUGAUGGUUUUAAUUCUGAGUUCAUACAAGCAUCCUGGGAUAUCAUUAAACAAGAUUUUUAUGAUCUUUGCCACCAAUUCCAUUCUGGAUACAUCUCCCUUGACUGUCUCAACACAUGUUUUAUUGCUCUCAUCCUAAAGAUUGACUCAGCAGAAUCUGUCCAAGAUUAUAGACCCAUUUCCCUUCUGAACUGCACUCUCAAGAUUAUCACCAAGCUAUUGGCCAACAGGUUGCAAUCCAUCAUUAAAAAUCUCAUCCACAAGAACCAAUAUGGCUUUAUCAAAACCAGAACUAUCCAGAGCUACAUGGCAUGGUCACAUGAAUACUUGAAUGCAUGCAACAAUUCACAUGAAGAAAUCAUUUUGCUCAAACUUGACUUUGAGAAAGCUUUUGACAUGGUUGAACAUGAUGCUCUCAUCAGGGUACUCCAGGUCAUGGGAUUUGGACAAAAAUGGAUUGAAUGGGUACAGAAAAUCCUUUCUUCUGCAUCAUUUAAUGUCCUCCUUAAUGGAGUCACUGGGAAGAUUAUCAAAUGCAGAAGAGGGCUCAGACAAGGUGAUCCUCUAUCACCACUCCUCUUUGUCAUCAUGGCUGAUGUGCUCCAAUCCUACAUCAAUCACCAAAUGCAGCUUGGCAUGCUCACAAGGCCAAUCACCUCUAAUAAUCUGCAUGAUUUUCCCAUUGUGCAAUAUGCAGAUGACACUCUCAUUUUCAUGAGAGUAGAUGUCCAUCAAAUAAUGCUGCUCAAGAACAUGCUUAUUAACUUCCAUUCUGCCAUUGGGACCUAAAAGUUAAUUUUCAUAAAUCAAAUUUGAUCCCCCUGAAUAUGGAUCAUAAUUCUCCCAGCUUCUAGCAGAGACCUUUGGAUGUAGAAUUGACAUUCUGCCAUUCAAGUAUUUGGGCCUCCCCCUUGGUAUCAGCAGGCCUGCUAUUCAGGACUAUCUAUCUCUCAUUAAACGUAUUGAAACAAAACUCACAUGCUUUUCUAACAUGCUGACAUAUGGCGGAAAGCUCCAGUUGGUUAAUUCGGUCCUUUCUGCAUUACCUUCAUACUAUAUGAGCACAUUCCUUUCUGCAUUACCUUCAUGCUAUAUGAGCACACUGCCUUUGGAGAGGUAAUGAUCUGACCAGGAAAAAUCCCCCACUGACUGCAUGGGAAAUUGUCUGUCGACCUAAAGCUGAGGGUGAUCUUGGUGUGCACAAUUUGAGUCUCCAGAAUAAGGCACUCCUUAUGAAAAAUCUGCAUAAAUUCUUCAAUAGGCAUGACACACCAUGGGUUCCACUUCUCUAGGAACUUUACUACCAAGAUGGUCUGCCUCCACAACAAGCCACUAAUGCAUCCUUCUGGUGGAAAGAUGUUCUCAAGCUCCUGGACACAUUCAAAAAAUUGGCUGUCUGCAACCCCCAUAGUGGAAAAUCCACCCUCUUCUGGAGUGACAACAUGAACAAUGUCUGUUUACAGCAGCAAUGGCCACACCUUUUCUCAUUUGCUACUAAUCAAUUCAUCACUGCUUAUGACAUGGUCAGCUCCAAUGAGCACACAUGCCACUUUCACCUACCUCUGUCUACUGCUGCAUAUGAGCAGUUUCUUCAGCUAAAUCAAUUCAUUCAGAACUGGGAAUCAUCUGUUGAAAAUGAUGAAUGGACUUACAUCUGGAAGAAGAACUCUUUUAUACCUGCCAAGGCCUAUGCAGCUCAAAUUGAGCACAUUAUCAUCUCUGCCAGUUUUCAUUGGAUUUGGGCAUCCUGCUGCCAUCUCAAACACAAGAUUUUCUUUUGGUUGCUCCUGAUUGAUAGACUAAUUACCAGAGCUAUGCUCCAAAGAAGGCAAUUUCACCUUCCAGCUUACACAUGUGUCAUGUGUGGAAAUGGAGACAUUGAGACGAGAGAUCACCUAUUUUAUUCAUGUCCAUUUGCCACUGCCUGCUAGACCUACCUGACCUCUCAAUUCCAUGUUCAAGAUAACAUUCGUGACAACAUAUCUCAACUCAAAGAAUUGCUUAAUCUGCCUUUCCAUAUGGAGAUUCAGAUCCUGGCUACUUGGAGUAUUUGGAUGACUCGAAAUGAUUAUAUCUUCAAUAAUGUUCAACCUAGUUUGUACCGAUGUAGAAGGAACUUUUCUAAAGAGCUUAAUCAUGUCUGGCACAGAGCAAAAAGAAAAAGACUUAAAGGCUUUGAAGCUUGGAUAGCAUCCUUUAAAUGAUUUUCCUUUUUUCUUGUAAAUAUACAUUUUUUUUAUUAAUAUAAUUUUAUGGCAAUAGGCUUUUAGACUAUUGUCUUUGCCCCUCAAAAAAGAGCACUGGAAUGGCGAAGAAAGACUGCCCAGGAGAUGUUUUAGAUUUCAGAGAAACAGUCAAUCCAAUGGAUAGAUGUACAACGACAUAAUUUUCGUUCUGAGCCCUGGGUGAUGAAGCGAUAUGUAAUGGUCUUUUUAGUCCAUAAGAUUUUCAAAACAUAGGAACAUGAAAAACAAAGUAUUGAAAUGUCAUGCCAUCUUAUUUUCUACACGAAGAGCAAAUACGGAACAAGCAAGUCAAGUUGUUUGCUUGCAGCACAGAAAAAAUUCAAAAAAUAUUAUGAGAAGUAUGUGCAUGGACAUAGGCAUCAUCAGGGACGGAGCCAAAUUUCCAACAUAGAAGAGGUAAAAUUUCUUUGUUAACUACAAUGUCUCCAUGUUUUUUUAAGAAUAGCUAAUCACGAAUGCCACACGGUAUGUCUCUGAUUUUUUUAAUGGGGGGAGGCUAUUUAACGGACAACCGCUGGAGUCUACCUAGAGACAGCCCAAAAAUGGGUUGUUAGAUUUUUUUUUGCCAUUUGGGAACUUUUUAUUUUUUUCCUUGUUGGCUUUUACCCUGAGGUAAAUACACCUGCGGUCCUACUUUUAUUGUCGCGGUGUCAGUUUAGUCCUAAAACUAUGAAACUGAACACUUUAAUCCUAAUUUUAUGAUAAGUGGUGCACGCGAGGUCCUAAGCUCGCUCGGGCGUCUGACUCGUCUACAUGGCACAUUUACCACGUACACGUCAGCUCAGGGGCGUUUGGCGAGAGUUUUGCUGUCGCGGCGGUUGGGAAUUUUUGCAGAAAACACCCUAUAAAAAUGUGGCGAUCUUCCUCUCUCUGUUUCCUCGUCCUCUCGGUUUUCUAUUCGAACUCUCUGUUUCCUCGUCUUCUCUUCUCGAUCGCCGCCACCGCCGUCAUGACAACGAGGACGAUGGCCAGCUCCUCCGUGCAGGGGCCAUCCCGACCAGCGUGUCCCCUCCUCUGCCUUCAGCGUGUCCCCGCUGGCUCGUCACUAUACCGUCGCCGGUCGCCACCGAGUCGCCACUACGUCGCCUUAGAAAUGCCGUCGGGUACGAAGGGAGAGGAACGGAGCGGGGAGAAAUAAAAAGGAUGCCUCCUCCGCCAGGGUUUUUUUUGCAAAAAAAUCCCAACUGCCGCGGCGGCAAAACUCCCGCCAAACGCCCCUGAGCAACCGUGUACGCGGUCAACGUGCCAAGUAGGCGAGUCAGACACACCCGAGCGAUCUUAGAACCUCGCGUACACCACUUAUCAUAAAAUUAGGACUAAAGUGUCCAGUUUCAUAGUUUUAGGACUAAACUGACACCGUGACAAUAAAAGUAGGACCGCAGGUGUAUUUACCUCCUUUUACUCGCUAUGUUCCAUAAUUCUUGUCUCAAAUUUGCGCAAAAAUGGAUGUAUCUAUUCCUCAAAAACGUCUAGAUACAUGUAAUAUUUCGACAAGAAUUAUAAAAUGUAGGUAGUAAUUUUUUUGAACUUUUAACUUUAUUCGAAGGUUUUAAAGGUUUUAAUUUUCAACUUUAAUUUUUUUUUAACUUCAAAUUUUUAUCUUCUGAGGUGGAUUUCCUCCGCCGAUUUGAUGUUGGCGGUUGGGCGUGGAAGAGGGAUCCCGUUUUUAAUGCUAGACAAAGUUUUAAAGUAUAGAGAAAGAUGUUGGCCGCAGAAGAUGGCAAGAAGAAAGGUGGAACGAUCUGCCGUUUAGUUAUGGAGAUGAUAAAAAGGAAAUAGAAGUAAUAAAGCUCCUUUUGAUGCCUCUUGGGCAGUUGGGUUAGGAUUCUGUGAUCAUCCUGCUAUUAGUGGGCUUGCAUUUUGAGAGACUUGGGCUUCAGCAUCGGGAACACCCUCCCUGCAUGCUCGCCCUCCUCUAAAUCCUCCCUCGUAAUUAUAGAUUUUUUUAAAACCUUCUUUGGACUAUCCAUUUCAUUCCGAUGAUGGGAUUGCGCUAAAGAAAUUUCAUAAGAUGUGAUUUUUUUUUCCUCCAAAUUUUGGAGCAAGCAUGAGGUCUAACCUCCUAAAAAAUAGUUUGAAUGUUCCAAUGCAUUUUCUCUCUAUCUCUCUCCUCUCUUGCUCCCGUCUUUUUCCAAUUUAGCAUCCAAACGCAUUUUUCAAGCAACUCUUGUCUUUUAGAUUCCUUUAGUAUUAUUCAAUACUAUUACAUGGUAUUCCAGUCCUAGGUUUUUCUAAUUCCUUCCUUGGAAUUGAGUGCAAAGUAAACCACAAGAAGAUUCCUAUAAAAAUAUAUUCCUACAAUUCAAAGAAACCAAAAAAUUCCUAAAGCAUCCUGCAAAUCAAAGAAACCUACUAACAAAAUUCCUAAAGAUUCUUGUUGUCUGUUUCUGUUGGCCCCACG
rnacentral:lncRNA from 1 species